rnacentral:lncRNA from 1 species
UUUUUUUUUUUUUUGUUCACUUUAAUUAUCUUAUCACAGACUCUUUCCUUUCUUAUUCCAGUCUGUGUAUAUGCUAACACGGUUUGUACAGACAGAUUGAUCGAUAUUGAAAAGAAACAAAAGAAGAUGCAAGGAACUUUCUUUGUUAAAAAUAAAAAAUGGAUUCCUUCCUUCCUUCUUUACCUUGAAAUAAUGAUAAUAAAAGAAGAAAAAAAGAAGAAGAAAACAGUGGUCUCUGCUAUGCGCUGUGAAGAACUUGUAUGGUACGUUUGAGUAGUUGUUUCAGUGACAGAGGGAGAGUCACAUACUUAUAUAUACAGAGACGUUUAAUCAGAUUCAAACAGAGGAAACAAAGGUCGUGGUCCCCAUAACACCACAAAACAGUAAACUUUUUCGUAACCCCCACAUUUUUCCUACCCUUAAAAAUCUUUUAUUUUCAUUUAAUAUUAUUACUCUUUUCUUUUCUAAAAUAAUACAAAAAUUUAUAAUUUUAUAACUAUUUUAUUUUUUUUAAUGUGUGAAAUGAAUGUGAAGUUAUUAAUUUAGAUAACAUGGUACCAGUAAUUUGUAUUUAAAAAAUAUUAAAUAAAUAUAAAAAAUUUAUGUAUAUCUCAAUCCUUUAAAAAUUGAGGUAAACACAAUUAAAUAUACUGUACUCCUUCAAAUUUUUGAAAUAUUAUUUUAAGUUCAAUACCGUGAUAAAAGUUUAAAAUUUUAAAAUAAAAACUUUAGAAUUUCAAAAUGAAAAAUACUUCGAAUACGAAAUAUGUUAAGUCAUCUCAAUCCCGUCAGUCAUCUAUAUCACUUUUAUAUAUAUAUAUAUAUAUAUAUAUAUAUAUAUAUAUAUAUAUAUAUAUAUAUAUAUAUAUAUUAAUAAUUUAAGCAACUCAAUAAUCUAAUAAUUUAAAAAAUCUCUAAUGGGUUCUCUAAUUUUGUAACAUAAAAAAAAUUCUUAAAGGAGAAAUGAUAUGGAAGAAAAGAAACACUCAAAUUAUUAGUAAAUGGGUGGUUAGGUACGUAUAGGUUUAAAUUUAAAUAUAUUACAUGUCUCGGUCAGUCUUAUCUUACAUGCAAAAGCUUGAUAUUCUUCAUUAAUUUAUAAAUAAUAUAUUGUAGUGAAAAUAGAUCUUCAAAUAAAAAAAUAAAAAAAACUUCACUAAUCAAUUAUAGUUUUAUUUAAGAUUAUAUAUGUAUCAUUCACAUAAGACCAUGUUCUACUUGGGUAUAUACAACACUAGAAUCAAUGAGUCUCCCGAAUAUUUAAGACAAUUGUAAAUUUAAUUUUUAUACAGUUUGUUCAAAGUUUAUUUUUUUAAAAUGAUUAUUAAUAAAAGUUAAAAUAAAUCUAAUUAAGUAUGAUGAUUAAAUCCUAAAGAAAUUUAGCAAUGAUGGUCAUGAAAGCGAGCUUUAUGCUAUUUCAUUAUAGUGAUUUCAUCUCUAAUGUUCUUGCAUUCAAAUUGCAUACACCAGUGAGUUAAAUUGAAACAUUUAUCGAUUAUUGUUCUGAUUGAUGAAAUAAUUUCCUCAAAAAAAACAAAAGAACUUUGAUGUUUUGGGAGUUAGAAGUUUUGUGGGGGUUAUGACUGCAAAAACAGCUUUUUUGUUAAGGUGGAUUCCUUGGACUCUUAUCCUCUUUCUUAUAUUUAUAUAAAUCAUUUUAUUGGUUGAUAAAAAAAAAGUCACACUGCCCCUUUUUUAAAGAAAAAUAUUCUGUCAUAAAAGUAAAACUCCGAACCUUCCAUGGCCUUGCCCUUCUUAAAACAGCCUUCUAAAACAAAUAAACCUAUCUUCUUUACAUUUCAUAAAACAAAACAACAUUUAUAGUUACUAGUUGAAAAAAAAAUAAGGUUUAAAAUCAAAUUUUUAAUAAUUUGCUAUUUAUACUGUUAAAAAAUAAACUUUAAACUUAAUUCAAUGUUAUAAAAUCAAUUUAUAAGAUAAAUUUACACUCAAUUAUAUACUAAAAAUUAAUUUUAUUUUUAGUUGAUGUAAAAUUUACAUAUAAAGUAAAAUUGUAGAAUCAUGUUUUUAUACUCUUGACAUUAGUAUUGUUGUGUUGAAUUCUACUUACUGAAUGUAAGAAAAAGUUUAUCGUUUUACAUAAUAGAUUGAUAUUAUAUCUUACAAUAAAGUGAUAUUACCGACGGUUAAAAUUUAUUGGUAAAUGGUCAUUAUCGAUAACCAAACAAUCAUCAGUAAAAGUAUUGUCGAUAAAUUUUAUCAACAGUUUGUUUUUGUCGAUAAUUACUGAAGGAAAAACUGUUGGUAAUUACUGAAAGAAAAAAUAGUUGGUAAUUAUUGAAGAAAGAAAUCGGUUGGUAAUUAUCAAAGAAAAAUCCGUCGGUAAAUAUCUCGAUCUGGUUCGUCUUCUUCCCUGCUCUGGUUGUGCUUCUUCCUUUCAUUAUUAUGCAUCCAACAAAGAAUCCACUUGUAGGAUGCAUAAUGGUGAAAGGGGAAGUUGCACAGUGGCUUUGGCUGGACUUCGAACGAACGGUGGCUCUGGCUGAACUUCUAGCAAACGGUGAUGUUGCACGGUGGAGACAAUGUUUAGUUGCAUAAUUUCGUGAAAAGUGAAGAAUAGAGGCACUACAUAUUUCUUGUGUGUGCUAGAGAAGAAAAAGUUAGAAUAAAAGACCUCACAUAUGGAGACGGAGAAGUGGCCUGACUGAAUGGAUAUGGAGUCGGCUUGGACAUGCAAAUACGAUAAUAAGAUGAGGAAGGAGGAGAAAAACGGUGUUAUAGAUAAAUCCAUCAAUAAGUAAAAAAUGAAUGGAAAAUUUUUCGCUCAUUUUGUUGCAUUACCGAUAAAAAAAAUCAUCGAUAAUGUGUGUAUAACUUAUAGAUAGAUCUUUCCGUCAGUGAAAGAAUUAAAAACCAUUGGUAAUUAACUUUUACAGACAAAUAUAUACCCGUUAAUAAUUUUAAAAGUUUUUGUAAUUAAAUCCAUAAAAAAAAUAAGACUUAUUGACAAAUUUAAUAUUUAACAUGGAUUAUGGCAGUCGGUAAUAAUAGAUUAGUUGUCUUAAGAUUUAACUAGUAUAAUUAGCAAUGAGGAUAAGAGUUAUUAAUUUUAUGAUUAGCUUGUUAGAGGCAGUGGACUUUGAAAUUAGUUUAUUUAAGAAAGUGGUGAAAUGACAAAAUCCACGAACGCGUUUGGUUGGGAACAUCUCACACACCACAGCUGUUGGGAGGAGUUGGUGCACCAUUAAUCACAAAUUCCAAAACCAGUACUAUUUUAAUACAACAAUCUCAUCAAUUGUUUAAUUUAAAAAAAAAUCAUCUUAUAUUAUAAUUUCAUUUAUAUAUUAAAAAGUAUUUUUUUAUUGUAUCCUUAAUGUAAAUUGAUAUAUUAGAGACCUGGAAUUUAUUGUCAAUUUUAUGUACAUCAUGUUACGAGGUAGAGUUUUCUUCUUUGCACGUAUCAAAGCACGACAUUUAUACGAAGAUUUUUUAUUACUGUAUUAUUUUUAUUAAAAUAUAAUAUAUUUUUAUAUAAGGCUAAUGGUUGGUGAAACUACCAAGGAGAAUUGGACUUAUAUUAUAAAGUAGGUUUUUAAAAUAACAGUUUAAACUUUCUUGAAAUUCUUAACCAAUUCUUAAAAUAAAAAAUCGAAAUUUUUCUUUUUAUAUGAAAAUCAACUAAAACAUAAAUAAAAAAAAUAAUUUAAAAAAUAUGAUAUAUCAUUAGACCUAUAUAUAUAUAUAUAUAUAUAUAUAUAUAUAUAUAUAUAUAUAAUCCAGGUAAGAACAUACAUUAGUAUUGAAGAAAAAACAUUACAAAUUCUUUAUUAUAAGAACUGUUAAGGUUUGUUUGCACAUGAUUAGAAACUGAACCCUUUUAUUAAUUUUUUCUUUUGGCUUUCAAUAAUUGGUUGAUAUAUAUAUAUAUAUAUAUAUAUAUAUAUAUAUAUAUAUAUAUAUAGAACCUUUUAUCUAUUUAUUUAUUUAUUGAUGUCGCUGAACUCAUAGCAAGUUCUGAUGUCUGUCUCUUGAAACUUUGGAACAGAUAACAUCGAUAUAAUAUAUAUAAUAUGUGUAUGCAUGUCGUUUUCUCUGUUUGGUUUUGUCCUAUACAGCUAUAUGAUGGCCUCUAUAUAUAGAAUAGAUGUCCAUUUUAUUUAACAAUGUCUCAUUCUUUUCACCAAUCCCAUUAUAUCAUGCCUUUCUAUUUCAUCAUAUACACUCCCAUGCAUAUAUUAUUUGAUGAAAAAUUCAAUCAUUUUAUCAUCCAUGAAUUUGUUUUUGUAAUUAAAAUUCUCACAUCAUAAAAAUGCUGAUUUCUUUUUCUUUUUUUAAAGUGCCCUAAUGGAAAAAUUAAUGAAAUAAUUAAACCAAACUGCAUGAAGACCUUUUUCUCUUCAAAGCAACUCUGCACAGAAAGUUCCUCCUUUUGGGAAAAGUGAUGCAAAGAGAAAAUAAACAAAAGCAAUGUGCUAAACUUAUAGGUAUGGUUAGUAGGUGAGAAAAUAUACAGCAAAAUAUCAGUGUAAGCUUUUAGUGACGGAAACAAAACAAUAUAGCCACGUACUAGCAGUCAUCAUGCAUACGUUAAAGCAUUUUUUAGUAUAAAUGAUUUUAAAAUGGGUUAAAUAUGUUUUUAGUCCCUAUAUUUUGGGCGAUUUUGGUUUUAGUCCCUCUUUCAAACUAUAGUACAAUUUAGUCUUUCAACUUUAGAAAACUCUGGUUUUAGUCAUUUUUACCAAAUUUUUUUAACUUUAUUUGCUGUUUCAAACACAUUUUAUUAUAGCAUUUGGAUUGUUUACACUGUUUGACACAUUUUUGCUUCAAUGUUAACUGAGAAACGUGCUUUAAACAGCAAAUAAAGUUAAAAAAAUGUGGUAAAAAAGACUAAAAUCAGAGUUUUCUAAAGUUGAAGGACUAAAUUGUAAUAUAGUUUGACAGAAGGACUAAAACCAAAAUCGCCCCAAAAUAUAGUGACUAAAAACAUAUUUAACCUUGGUAACAAACAUAGAUAUGGUCCCUCAUGAAAAACUUUUAGGUGGGAAUGAACUGUUCAAUCUAAUAACAUCAACCAAAACAAGGAAAUCAAACUAAGGCUUAUCUUAAAAUUAUUAUAAUUACGUAAUUAAAACUGGUAGUACUUAUAUCUUAAAUAUCAUGUCCCUGUAAAGUGCCUAUCCACUGCAUAUGGAAACUUGUCAAAACAAGAUUAAUGAUUAUAAUGAUUACUACUUCAUUUAAAGUUAAUCAGAUCUUUUUUAAGUUAUUUUCAAUACUUAUAGGAAUUAGCAAUUAUUCUGCUUUAGUAGAAGAAAAUUAGUCUGUCCUAUCAUGACAUACGUUUUGAUGCUCAUGUUUGAAGGAAAAGAGAACUAACAUGGGAAAGCUGCAUUUUCUGUGUUUUUUUCCUUUUCGGAUUCUGUAUUCCUAUUAUGAGAAAAAGAAUCACUUUAGGAAAUGGGGGUGGAAGGUGCAGCUAAAGGCUGCAUCAAUCUUUCUGUUUUAUCUCUUUCUUUACGAUUCUAAGUCUUAUAUAUAUAUAUAUUUCUUGAAAGGAAAAUAUAUUUUAACACCAAUUUUUGACAUUAUUUUGACACUGUACAUGUGUCAAAAUAUAGUUAGAUGAUUUUAAAUUAAAAAAGAAACUUUAGUUUUUUUAUUUCAAAUAUACCCUUGCCUCAACUUUUUUUAAUUUGAAAUCAUCCAACUACAUUUUGACACGUGUGCAGUGUCAAAAUAAUGUCAAAAAUUGAUGUUAAAAUAUCGUUUUUUUUCUUAAAAUCAAGUAUAUUAGGAAAACAGUAUUGAAAUGUAUACGUUUUUCUUUUUCAUUAUGUUUCAUUUUAUUUUUCCCAGCCUUUGUAAGAAUUUUUCUUUGUUGUCUGGUCUAAAGUGUCAUGUUCAAUAUUUAAUAUCCACUCGUUUAGUAAUUAUUUGAGUUUUUAUUAUAUUAUUUAUAUAAUUUGGGAGUCCAAGUUUGCAUUUCCUAUAUAACGAGUCCAAUAAAUAUGUUAAGUUAUAUGAUUCUAGAAGGUUCAUUAAGUUUUGUUAAUCUAAAAUAAUUAAAAAAUAUUGAGAUAUAUUUGUUGGUGGAAAUAUUCAUUGUAUAUGUGAUUAAAUUUCAAUAGUUUAAUUAUAUCGUAAUAUUUUUUAAUACCUUAUCACUAUUAUUUAUCUAAUUAUUAUAUAUAUAGUCGUCAAUAUUACUUUUUAUUCUCUUAGAUAUUAUUAAUUUUAUCGUAUGAGUCAUAAGACUUAGAAACUCUAUAUAGAUAUAAUAGUAUUUCAUACAUACUUACUCUUACUUAUUCUUUUUAUUCAAAAUCUUUUAUUGACUUGGGUUGGAGAGUCUUUUACCUAAAUUCCAACUUUCACAAAUACAUAUUAAAAUUUUUCAAUUCACUCGUAUCUUAUUACUUGUCCAAAAAUUUAUACUCAAGAUUCUGGAAAAGAAAAAUUCUAUUUUUAGUAAAUAUGAUAUCUUUACCAUUUAACACAGAUAAUUGUAUUUAAUAAUAAUGAAAUAAACUUAAGAAGAUGUUUUGUUCACAUUGACAAUCCACUUUUAGGAAUAUUUUUAUUAUUAAAAAAGAUAACCUUUUGUAUUUGUCAAAAAUAAAGAUUGAAAGGUAAAACAAUGAAUGUGAAAUGUAUGUAAAAAUUUGUUUGGUGUUGAGAAUAAUAAGUAAAUUUAUAACUUAGGUGAAAAAAAAUGGAAUAACAAGUCAACAUCACAAUGUAUUCAUGUGAAAGUGUGACCUCGAUCAAUCUCAAGUCAUCAUCAUACAGCGCAAGGAAUUCGAGUUGGUUCAAUGGAUUUCUUUUCUCCUAAGUCUUGUGAACCAGUUGUCGAAUGAAUCAUUUUGUUGUUGAAGACACAUAAUAAAAUAGACGUAAACUUCAGCUGGCACGCAAUAUUAAACAGAAUUAGGUGAGAUAACAACAAUGCAAUGUUCAUGGAUUUGCCAUUGGUCCACAUCACAUCAAAUAGGCUUUUCCUUGCCAUGCUACCACCAUAAUGCACUUCUCAAUUUCUCACAUUUCAUGCUUUUCUUUGAAACUACAACAUGGCUACCUACCGAGAAGAACAUGUGAUAUUUUCAAACUAUGUCUAAUAAUGUUGGAACUUCUUGUUAAAGAGUCCAUGUCAAUCAUAGAAACUCUCAAAAUUUAGAAGCAAAUCUCAUCUAUUUUUUCAAACACAAUACAAAUACAUGUUAAAAAAAUAAAUGUUGAGUGCACAAUCAAAAACAAAAUCAUCCAUGAAUAAUUGUAUACUCAAAAUUAACUAUUUUUUACCUCAGAAUACUGAACAUGCUUACAUGUACAUGUAUAAAACAAAAAGUAAAACUAAAACAUGAAGCAGUCACAAAAUGUGAAGAAGGUAAGCACAAGCUCCAUUACGUGUAAAGUUCCACUUCAGUGCUAGAGUCUCCAAAAACAAAAAGAAACACUGAUGAGGUAUGUGACACCCAUGUGUAUGAGGAUUCUAGACACACCAUAAGUUUUUCUCUCUUCUACUAGAUUCCUCCAGAGAUUGAAGAGACUCCUUACGGAUGAGUAAGAAGCAGAUCCACACUCCAAGUACAACAGUUUUUGUCAUUCAUAUUUUACAUUCAAUUUACUGUCAAAUAACUAUACUAAGUCGACUUAUUACAAUACAAGCCCCAAUACAAAAAAUGAUGAUAAAACAGACUCGCUAUUUAACUUUAAAUUGACAACACUCAAAGAAUCAUACAAGAAAAGCGAAGCUGGCCUGAUCUUCGUGCCCCUAGUGUUUUAUACUAGGAAUGAACGACCAAGUUACAAAAGAAUAUUAUGACAGAAGAGUCUGUUUUAACUAUGCAAUUUGAAAGCUGGAUGGUAUCACUUGUUAGACCACUGAAAUUCUAUUUCUAGAUUCCGUGGCGGCCCACUUUUACUUUGAGGCAACAAAGCGUACUCUCCAGCCACUGAUCCAAGCAUUACCACUCGAUCAAUCUGGAUUGUUACUUUCCCGAAUUUACUCUGUCAACAAAUCACAUUAGAGGGUUAAACAAAGACUAACCAAACGAGUCUUAAAAAUACUGGUUAAGGAAACAGAUAAAAAGUAUUUAAUUAAAAAUGUUUAUUAUGUUAAAAAUAUAAAAUCCAUUUAAUAAUGAGACCAAGAAACAAAAUAUUUGAAGAUGAAUACACUGCUGCGUUUACUACACGUUUUUCCACAUUUACCUUUCCCACUUUGCUCUUAUUUUUGCAAGAAAUAUGAAGCUUCUGGCCUUUUGGAGGACUCUCAAAAGUCCAUGAAAAGCUCUCAUCCCACUCCGGAUUAGGGCCAGUUGAAACCACCUGAUCAACCCAUUAUCAAGGAUAUUAGUAAUACAGUAUAUUCACUUUUCAGGAAAAAGAGUAUAGAAUACACUAUGACGUCAUAAUAAAAAAUCAACAGUUUUUAUAUACAUUCAGCCAAAACCACAAUGCUCUUUGCCUUUAUGAUUUUCAACAAGCUUAAGCUCUUACAUGUACAUCUUGAAACUCAAGAAGGUCAAAAUAGUUUGCAACUUCGAAGUGGCAUUAGAUACGAUGCCCAAGAUCAAGGGACAAGUAAAAUUGCAAAACCAACAAUGAAGAAAAACCUAUACUAACAGGGCAGAUUUUUUCUUUUUUUUUUUUUGACAAAAAGGGGCAUGCAAAAAGUGCCAUAAAAAAAUUAUUUUGGUUACGUGAAUCAAUUAUGCAGCCAAUACAACACGUAGAAAAACCUCAGCAGAAUAGGUAGAUGAUCAUGAGGUGUUCUUCCAGGAAACAGUUCUAAAAAUGUAAAUCCUAAUUGAGUAUUUCUGAUAUAGGUAUAAUUUGCAAGGAGAAAAGCCGGGUAAUAUUAAGUGAUUCUAGGGUUAAAUUUGUAGAUAACUGGCAUGGAGAACAAAACCCGAAUUUACUUUUACACCCAAUUUGACUGGAUCCUGGUGCAUACUCAGACAAAGCUAAAUAGCCCUCUCUUCCCCCGUAACAACACACAAAAUAUCCAACUUGAUAGGAAAAUAAGAAAUCAUAAAUAUAAAAAAAUGACCUGGGUUUGCCUUGGGGGAGUGUUGCCAAGUGUAAGCUUGCAGUAAACACUUGGGUUUCCAACGGAUUGUUUCAUAUUGUUACCACGUUUGAUGAUCACUACCAAUGUCCCCGGCAAACACUGCAACAAAAAUUCUGCUUUCUCCUGAAACCGAGGUGGCCCAGACUGUAUUAAGUACUGCAGCAGUGGAAUAGCAUCUGCAGCUGCAAUUGACUGAGCUCUAGAAACUUCAGCUGGGCAUGCUGACCAAGCUUGUCUGAGCAGGAAAAGUGCAUCUAAUGCUGCUUCCUGACACGCUUCUGAACCUGUCUUUAAGGCUGUAACCAGAUGGGGAAUGCUAAGUGUCGAUGGUUCAGUUGCUCUAAGUCUUGGGAAGUUGCUAAAUAGAGAAUUUAAGGCUUUCAGAUACUCGUCAUUCACGGUUCCAGAAGCCCAUAAAUCUUUUUCAAUAGCAGCUAUAUGAACAAAAGACCUUAGUUAGAGAUAAAAAGUGAGUAGGGGGAGAUGUGUUUCCGCUUAAAUGAAUCACCAUUGUUCAUCAAUCAAUUCUGUGGAAAAACUGCAAUCUAAAAUUGUUAAAGUAACAUUAAUUGAACACUUAAUAAAGCAAAAAAGUGCCUAGUUUUGCUAGAAGACUACAUGAGCACAGCUACAGUAUGCUUUCAAAUUUAAUGAUAGGUUGAAGUUCAAAGGACACAGGUUCCAUAAUUUAUAUGCUUCCUACCAUAAAUUUAGGUGCACUAUCAAUUAAAAUUAGCUCCUCUAUUGCUCAUAAGAUUUGUCCACUUCUUCGCAUGUAAUGUAUUUGAUGAACUUCACUUGUUUUGUUGAAAAGCUUUUAGAAAUCAAGCUAUGACUCGGCUUGUGAAAGUGAGUCAAAAAUCAUAUAUCAUGUUCAAUGUAUCAUAACGUAAAAAAAAAAAAAAAAACAUUUUUUAUGUCAAUUUGUAUGACAAGGGUAGUGUUUCCUUUGGUGUAUUUUUAGCCUUCCCAAAAUAUUUAAUAUUAUGUUUUAAAUAUAACUAAACCAAACCAACAUAAAUUUAUCGCCAGAAUUGCACACAAACACUCAUCACCUGCAUCCACUCCUACUGUUAAAGAACUUAUUAUUAUUGUUUAAAAAUAAUUAUUUUUCAGUUUCUAAAACAUUCAUUACUCAAAUUUACUCCAGCACCAAGGCUACAUCUUCUAGAAAGUAAAAUCAGGGCAUGCUAUCAUGCAGCUUUUUUCAGGAAUUUUGCAUGAAAAAAAAUAAUGUCCCAAAACAGCCAGGCAGAAAAAACUGCAAGAGAAGCAAAGAGAAUCGUACCAGUUAUCGCUCUGACUGUUUCACUGGAAGCAUACUCUUGAAUAGUAUUAUUUGAGAAGAGAAGUUUAACAAACAUCGCAGCCUGAACAGAUGUUUCUGGAUUACUUGAACCUAUCAGAUCCAGUACAACCUGAACACCACCAGCCUCUGCAACUGCUCUUCUAUUUGAUCGACUAUACAUCACAAGAUUCUGCAAAGCACAUAUGGCUACAACUUUCAUUUCUUCUGUUGGUUGGUCUUCAAGCACGUUUACUAAAGCACGACAAGCUGAAACUGCAUCACUUGUUCGAGCAAGGCCCUCAUUCUGAAACAGAUCCCCGAGAGCCAAAGUUGCCAAUAACCUUGCCUGCUGUGCUUGAGUUUGUGGGUCCAAAAGGUACUGCGACAAUGGUACAAUAGCUGAUUUUGUUACUUUUGUUUCUCGAAUCUUUACAUUGUUCAGCAAUACUUCUAAAAGUCUUGCGGCAGUUUCCUCACACUGAUGAGAUCGCAGGAGCUCCAAGAGAGCCUCUAUAGCUCCACUUUCCGACAUAGCUUCUGCACUAGUUCCAUCAUCGUUUUCUAGCACCAAAAGAGCAUUUAAAGCACCAACAACCGUGGUCUCUGAGCCAGAUCGAAGCAACCUUACCAAUACAGCAAUAGGCACUUCCAAGUAGAAUUCAGAGCUAAACUGCAGAAUACUAGACAAAACGGAGGCGGCAGACUCCCAUAAAGCGUGAGGAAGGGAAGGAUCAGCUUGCAAUAUCACUUUGGAAAUUUCAAUGACACCACCCUCUUUAGCAAUUUCGUUUGGCCAUGUUAGUGCAAUACUAACAAGGGCUUUUACAGCUCUCUGCUGCAGUAUGUGUACACCAGAACCAAGAACUCGAAUGAGAGGGCCAAUUGCUUGCUGUGUCACGGGAUCCUUCUGAAGACGUUCUUCGAGAAGUAGAUGUGAAAGAAGCUCAGCAGCCAACUGUUGCACUGCUGAAAUUGAAGAAUCGAGCAAAGGGAUAAGUGGUUCAAUAACUUGGCGAGAAGUUAAUGAAUGGUCAGCUCGACACUUUGGAUGUUCUAAGAUAUUAACCAAAACCUGCAAUGCACUGUGCUGUCCAUCAGGCCCAAAUUCUUGCCUUGUCAGUAACAAAAAUAGUGGUUCAACCACUUUAGCAGCAGAUGAUCCUUUAGCUAUACUAGCAUUAUUAGUCAAUAUACGCAACAAUUCUGCAAAAGCUGCACACAGAUAAUCGGGUGCUUCAUGUAAGAUGUCAAGUACGCUUUCAAUAACUCCAGCUUUAACCAUCUCCAUUUUACAAGCAGGCCUGUCUUUUCCCAACUUGACUAGAGCUCUGGAAAUGGCCUCAUGUAGUAUAUAAUUUGUACCCGACAGUAGGCCAACUAGAGGAAUAACUGCACCAUGUGCAGCAACUAAUUCUGCCAGUUGCUCAUCAUCAACAAGCCUAUCCAGUGCCCUGACAACUGAAAGCUGAGCUGGACUGAACUCAGAUACAAGGAGAGAGACAAGAGGUUCAACACAACUUGCAGCAGCUGCUGUGGAGCGAAUCCUUGUAUUUCCAAAAAGAGCACAACAUAAUUCAGCAGCAUCCCCUUUCAGGUCCAUUGAACAACUUGAUGAAAGGAUCCUACAAAGAACUUCCACUGCAUUCUUCUCAACAUCUGCAACAGCAAGAGCUCUUGAUGGAUUUUCACUCAGUAACCCCACCAAUGCAGCAAUGGCAGCAUGCUGCUCCUUUUCUGAACCAGUACUGAGAAUCUCCACCAAUGGUUGAACAGCCUGCCGAGCAAUCUCUGCAUUUCUGAUGUGGUCAGCAGAAAACAAACUUUCCAAGGCUUUUGCAGCACUAUACCUUGCACCUCUUCCUCCUAACCGUAGCACAGCUAUAAGUUGAGCAACAGCGCCAAAUGCUGAUUCGUGUCUUCUUAUUUCAGCACUGCUAAACAGAAUUCCUAGAAGAUCUGUAGCAGCUUCUUCAGUUGCAUCUUGCGGACUGAGUGAAAGAUACUUCGUAAGUGCCUCUAAGGCUCCAGACUCCACCAUUACACUCAUAUUUGAAGGACAAUCUUUACCGAGCUGAGUCAAAAGUACAAGUGCCAAAAAGGGUGCCCCUGGACGAUCUGGAAUUGGUUUGAGCAGAUCAACUAAGGCUGGUAUAGCCUUUCGAGAAGUGGCUCCAACCCUUAUAUCUUCAACUCGAAACAACCUUUCAAGAGCCACUUGAUCAGGAUAACGCACCAAAGAAAAUUCCUCUGACAAUUCCAGAAGAUCCUGUAUAUCAGUAUCAGCACAGCCAAGCAAAGAGAUAAGUCCACCUGCUGCCCCAGAAUUUGCCACAGACAGGAGUGUUCCCCUGCUACCAUUACAGACAAGGCUAGCUAUAGAUUGUGCAGCAAAAUAUUUGUUUGCUGAUGGCUCUGAUUUCAUUAAACUGGUAAGUGCUGGUACAGAUUUCAUAGUUGGAUGUGCCCGUAUGAUAUCUCUAUUUUGAAACAAGAUCGCCAACAACAAAGCGUGAAUCCACAUGACACUAUCUUCUUUGUAGUCAAUCUGCAUGUUCACCAUAUUGAGCUAACCGGGUUUAUAUACAGAAAUAAAUCUCAUAACAUUGUUUAAGUUUUACAGCAAAGGACGCCUUGAAGUACAAGAUAAACAUUUACUACGGAAAAUACAGUUUAUCUACAUAAAAUUUUGGUUAAUUCAAGUUUAAAAAAAUUAACCUCCUUAUCAUCCCUUCCCCCGUCUCCCUAGCUGUGAAAUACUAGAAGAAACAUAACACUGUAGUGGAUAAAGAUUAAGUUAAAACUGUGAUAACUUUUUUUGACACUGAUUUGCCAAAUAAAGUACAUACACUAUCCUAACACUUUGUUUUCUACUUUUUACCCAAAAUUCAAUUUGUCUUGAACAGUUUUUCAUUCUAUAAAGAUCUCAUUGUCUCUCCAACCACUAUGUCCAAUUUCAUACAACUGAGAAUCUAGAAAAUUAUCAGAGGAACUGUUUCUAUCAAGGGGAUGAUGUGGGAGAUUUUGAAACUUUGCAUGAACUAUAGGAUUUUAGUUUACUUCUGGAAAAAACAUUGGGGUGGGAGCAGCAGAGAGUUAAAGCAUGAUUUUCUAUUUCAUGUACUACCUACCUAUGAUUAGAAUCACAUGAACUAUCCAUUUCUUUGGAUUGACAGAAAAGCUACCUGAGAAUAUUGCGAGAAACAAUUCGAGAUUCUGUCAAUGAGAACAUCAAUUGCUCCAGCCUCCAUUAUUGCAAUUUUAUUUUUGUCAUCAUUACAAGCAAGAAUAGACAGUAGCCAUAGCACCAAGUCAACACCACAGAUAAUGCUAGUGUUGGAUUCAGAACUGUUGGCCUCUUCUGUUAUGUGCCUGCAUAUGCUAAUGAGCUCCUGGUUGUCACCAUCCAGGUAACCCGAAGAAGGCACUGCAGAAACAAGAAUAUCAACAAGAGAUCGAAUAAGAUCGACACACAAAUUCGAUGAACUUAGAUCCUCCACCAGUCUCUGAUGAUUUGCCUUAGAAGUACAAAUAAGGAGCGCUGCUCCCCCAAUUUUGACCUUUACAUUUGUGGAACUAAUUAUCCUCUUAGCUAUUGAAGAUAUACAUCCAGGUGCUGACACAAUAGUCUCUCCUAAAACAACAGGCUGAUCCUUACAUAAUCGAGAUAAAAUCUCAAUAGUUUUAUCCUGCAACAUUGGCUCCGAAUCAACAAUACACAAGACUAUUGGGCUUAUGCUUUUAGGGAAUUCAGCCAAAACAGCACAAGCAGAUUUAAUAUUUUCUCUGGUCUCUACCGACCUGGACAGUAUGGCAAGUGCUUCUAGAGCCUCCGAUGUAGCAACAGAUCCAUUGACAGCAGAAUCUAAGAAAGAAACUAAUGCAAGAACAGUUCCAGCACGAGUCACACAAUCAGUUACAGCAUAAUCAACAGCCCGAGAAUGUAAGAGGCGAGAAAUUGCAGCUGCAGCAUGAGUUUUUCCGGAAAUUGUGCCUUCACAUAAUAUUCUAGUGGCAGGUAAGAUAACUUCUUCUGCAAUAGCUUUCUCUGCAAUUUCACCAUCCAAAAUAAGGUUUGCCAGAGCACAUGUGGCCAUCUCUGCAACUUCCAAAACUGAAGAAUUUGCUAGUGAAACUAGAGGGGAUAAUGUGUCUCUGGCGAUAGUAGCUACAUCCCUGUUCUCUUUGAUGGAAAGAAAUAUUGCAGCCAGGCAGUGGGAGGACUCAAUCAGGAUACUUUCAGAUUCAGCAUUGAGCAAUUUCUUGGCUGACAAAAGAGUUUUGACAGCUAUGCUACUUUCACGCACAUCUUUCCUUGUUUCAAAAACUCCUGCCAGAGCCGAUGCAGACUUUGCCUGAGUUUCUUCUUUGGCAGAGCCCAAUAAUAUUAUCAUAGUAUCAAAUGCAUCGCUGGCAGCACUACCUUCACGUAAAAUGUCAAUAAGGGGAGCAACAGAAAGCAUACUUCUCAAAGCGUCCAAAACAUAAACCUUAGAAUCAGGAAGAUCACUAGUCAAUAAAGCUGUAAGCUGACUAAUAGUUGUAGUAUCAGAUUUAUGAAUUAAAUGAUUUAAAGUUUUUGCAGCAAUAUCCUUCCCAUUUGGGCUUCCAUUUUUCAAUAGCCACAAUAAUGCAGGAACAGCAUCGGCACUUUCAACACAAGCGCGUAUAUCUUCGCUAUGAUUGCACAGGUUCUUAAGGAUUGUUGCUGAAUCUUCCUUUGCUUUUGCUGAUCCUGUCUCCAAAAUUUGAACAAGUGGAGGUAUGCCACCAGCUGCAGUAAUCGCCCAUUUACUUUCAUCGUUUUCAAAUGAUAGAAGGCAAAGCAGGGCAACUGCACACUCUUGUUGCUGUUCUGAUGAAAGCCCCAAAAGAGAUAUCAAUAGCUGAACUCCUUCACGGCCCUGAAGUGCACGCCAUAGACUGCCUUCACUUUUGCACACUGUCAACAGAGCUUUUAUAAGCUCGUCUUGCACUUCAUUUGCAGCCAUUGUUAUCAAACCAACUAGCAGAUGUUUGGCAUCCGCAUUUGCAAGUUUAUUUGAAAGUACGGAAUUUCCAUACAAACUAGCAAGUGCUUCAAUGGUUCGUUCCUUCACAAGGAAGGGCAAGCGAGGUUCAAAUUGUUUGAGUAAUGUCUGCUCGACAACCAAAGGAUCUGAUGCUCUGGUUGAUUCUGCCUUGCUAUCAUAAAUCAUGAGAGCUGAUGCCAAAGCUCCUAAUGUGUCAGCAAUUUGGGUAGGUGAGGUGCAUGAUUCAAGACUUUGACCAAGGCUAGAUAUGACAUAAGACAAACCACCAGAGAUGUUUGCUAGAGCACUCAUAGCAUUCUCUUGUAAUGCUUGAGCACACUCACCCUGCAUGAAUUCUUUGGAAGGAGCUAUGGUAGCAUUGAUCAGAGAAGGAAUACCAUUAGCAUUGGCUAUCUCUCGCCUUGCCUCUUUGCACUGAGCAGAAAGAGAUUUAAGAGCACCAGCUGCUUCAGCUCUAACAGAGUCAUCAUUACCAGGGCCUAAUAGUUUAAGAAGUUGUUUUGUCACCUCCGCUGUCAACACCUUUGAACAAACAGAUGCAUCCUCCAUCAUUACAGAAGCAAGUAAAUUGCACACAUUUGCUAAACUGCUGGGCUGUCCUUUUGCCAGUAACUUCACUAAUAUGUCCACUCCUCCAGCUCGUAUAGUUGCAUUCCAGAAUCCCUCAGUGUUGCUGGAGAGAUUUUUCAAUGCACCAGUCAAUAAACCUUCAACUACAUUUCCUGCCUUUAGACCAGUUUUCAGCUGCUCCCAGAGCACUGGUACAACUCCUUCAGUUGAAAAUAUUUUUGAACCAACAUGAUCCUUUACACCACCCUGAGAAACAGCAUAAAUAGUCUUUGCAGCAGCAAUUUGUCCUUCGGUAGAACUGGACUUUAAUAGACUAAGCAAUGGAGGAAUGCAUCCUCCAAGCAAGACCUUCACCCUUAGUUCAUUUUCUUUACAAAGGGAGCCCAAGACAGUUGCUGCCUGUAUCUUUACAUUCAAUGAACCAGACCUGAGAAGGGAAACAAGUACUGGAACUGCCUGAGAGUGAGAUCCAACAGCACUAAAAGCAUUUUCCCGCAUAUCUAUAAGCUCCAAUAGCUGUCUUAAGGAAUACUCUUUCUCCUGCACAGAAUAAGAGCUCUGACGCAGCUGCUCAAUGCAUUGGGCAACACUAGCUAAUGUUCCAUCUGGAUCCUCCAUGCUGCUGUUACGCUCUCUGCAAUAGCAACCAGUUAAACAUGUAAGAAGCCAAAAUUUAGUGAGCACCUAUUUGAAUGUCCCUAUCACAUAGUUCAUAAACAAAGUGACCAAUUCACACGGUUCUUAGUUCAGUCCCACAGGUUAGACUGUUAGCUUAGUCAGCUGCAAGCAGAACAGAGACUAACAAAUAAAUGUAUUAAAAAAAGGUGUUACAAUCAUUGAUUGUAGCAGCUUUGUAAACAAUUAAUCAAUAAUUUUAAUUGGUUGUUAAGUAUUCAUGUGUGACAAACCGACCUAAAUCCCAUCUUCAAAACAGAAUGUGGAGUUGCGGGCUCUGAAUCUUGAGUAUUCCUAUCACCAUUUCUUUCCUGCAAUCAAAAGAGUAUGUUAAGGUAUGUCUCAUAUCUCUGAAAACAUCAAAUAAAAGAUGGGUUGUAACAAAAAUAAACACAGAAAAAGGAAUCGCAUAAAACGAAUCAGCCUGUGAGAUUUGUUGUUUCUUUCUCUUUUUCUCAGGCAUAAAGCCAGUAACGGAUGGAUAACUACGUAAUUCAAUAUAAAAGAAAGAGAUGUAAUGGGAAAUCAAGCUCUAAUGGAAGAUAUGAACCAAUACAGUUUGAUUACAUUCCUCAAAAAGAAUUGUUGUUUUGUUUUCACUACAGAUUAUUCAUUUAUUAUCCUUUAGGAUUGCAUCUUAUUAAGUUAACCCGGGGGAGACCUGAGGAAGUGAAAAUAGUUCUUCAGCAAUAUAAUACAUCAGCAAGGAACCAUGCAUCUAAACAAACCCCUAAACAGAAAAGUAAAAUACGCAAACAGACACAAACCAUUUUACUACAGCCAUUCACUUCUUUCCAUUUUCUACUUUUGCCCUGCAUCCCAGAAGAUCUAUUGCAUUUUCAUAGUUAAUCAUACUACAAAAACCAUCCCUCACCAAAUUCAUAAUAUCCAUGAAACUGGACACACUGUGAAGAACCGUCAGAGACUGUAUUCUAGUGCAUCAAUUAACCUACGCAUCACACACCAACAAAAAAAAAAAGUAAACCCCCCACAUCUGCACAAUUAAAUCACACAGUUCCUUUAAACAUCCAUGAAUGAACGAUCCCCAAUGACACGUCCCAGAGUCGCGAAACGUCUAGCACAAAACUGCAAAACCUUGACUAAGCAAAGCAAUGGACAGAAAGCAUCCGGAUGAACCCAAACGGGAACGAACAAGAUCCAUAAAUAAACUUCCCCCCAUGCAGAGAGUAACCACAGCAGAACACUUCUCACUCAUUCUGGCACAAGAGAAAAAAAGAUCAAAUUGUUGUGAAGAAGGUACCAGAUCAUUUGCAUUGUUGGCAGCGUGUCUCCAAGCAAGUGUAGUGGCCAUGGUGGCUUGUGGUUGAGUGGAAGGAGUUCAGAUCUGGAAGAGUGAAAGCAUCAGUGAACUGACUGAUUGAGAUCCAAAAUAGGAAGUGGUAAAGACAUGAGAGGAGGUGAAGAAUGGUAAUGGGAAACGAAGGGAAUGAGAAGGAGUGAGUACAACAGAAGAAGAAGAAGAAGAAGAUUAUGAUGAUGAAGAAGAAGAUGGUAUGGGUUGGGUAGAGGAUAAGAAGACGAGAGAAGGAAGAUGAGGAACAAAUGUAGUUGGUUGCACCUUUUUCUUUUAUUUUAUUAAUUUUCACUUUCUGCAUCUGUUUGAUUGUGUCUUACGUUUUCAACUUUUUGUUACGAAGUGUCUGUAAGGUGUUUUUCACGAUCUCGCCGUCGUCACCGGAGCACCGACAGUGGCAACUUCAGCUCCACCUCAAAGCUGACUCACCUAGCCGUCGCAGUCAAAAUUUUGAGACCAGGGAUUUCAUCACAUAUAAUUUUAUCCUUUUUUUUCCUAUUUUUACGAAUAAUUAUAAUAAAUUUAAAAAUCACCGUUUAGAACAAAUUUAAUAUACCAAUAUUAGUCAAUUCUACCACUUCUUACUGGUUUAGACAAAGUUCUGAUUUAUUUUAACGACCAGACCAAUUAUCAUAUUGAUUUCUAAUUUGAUUGAUUGAAAGGAUUGAUUUUUUUUAAUAAAACUCCACUUAAUUAUAAUUCUUUAUAUACAUUUACUUUUAUUAUAGUAUUGAAAUUUAAUUCAUCAUGAUGAAAGUGUAACUUAUGAAUUAUAAAACCAACCAUUAAAACAUUAAAGAGUUGUCUCUAUUUUCAAGUCUCUUCUUCCUUGCUUUUCAAUAUUUGUUAUAUGUAAUCUUCACCAUUACAAUUAUAUUUGUGAUUUCAUGAACAUUAACAAAAUACUGGAGAGUUUGAUUUUGGUGCCAAGAAUGAUAACAUUUUAGGAAAACAAAAAACUGUCGUUAUUAGACACUAAAAUAGAUUAAAGUUUAACAUAUUGAAAACUAUUUGUUGAAGUUGGAAGAUAACAAGUAAAGAGGUUAUUAUGAUGUUAAUACUAGUUGAGACCCUUAAGCAUUUGCUGUGAAUUAAAUAAUAGUAUAUUAUUAAUCUCAGAAGUUGAAAUGUCAGCACUGAGUAGCAGUGAUUGAGAUAGUGGACUCAUUUGGAGAUCAAAAAAUAAUAAGAAACUAAACAUUUGAGGGUUGUUCAGUGACAAAAUGAUUCAAAAUACAACCACAGUUUCCAUUUUAUAUUGAAAACAUGUUCCUUAGCCAUGUGCAGUGUCCUUCUACAUUAUAAAACAUACCAAUGAAUUAAUAUGCACUUGUUCUUAUUCCUCUUUGUCAUCUUCUUCUUAAUUAACUAGAUUAACAUAAUUUAGAUUUGUCUAUCACACAAUCAAAAAUUGAAAAAAUAAUGAUUGUUAAGGAUCUCGUUAAGAAAUGAAUUAACAAUACAAAUAUUUGUUAUGUCUUGCCAUAAUUUUCUUUUAUUUCUUAACAAGUGUUUUUGUCUAAUUCUAAAUUCGUUUAUAAUAUUUUAUUAAUUUGCCUACUACCAAAAUAGUGUUAACUAGGAGAUAAUUUCUCUUCUUUUUUUCUAUUUUGUAUGUAGUUUACCAAAUACACAACUUUUUCUAUAUUGCCAUCGUGAAAACUCAUUAAAACAACAACACUCAGAAUACCACAAGCAAAGUUAGUUUUCAACUCAAUGACUUUGGAAAAUUUGUAAUGAAAAAAAACCAUCAACAAAUUAAUUCAAUAAUCUUGAAAAGCAUCAGUUAGUUGUUCAAUUAUGUUGACAUGAAUUAAAUCAAAUACAUACACGUCAAGUCAAGACCGAGGUUAGCUUAGUAGGUUUAAAGUCUUUUUCUUAUCCUAAAUUUUUAGGAUCAAACUAGAAAUUUAGAAACAAUAAAAAAUGUUGAUAAAAACCCAAUAACUUUCUAAGUACAUAUUAAAAAAAAAUUAGCUUAGUGAUAAGAAGUUUAGAAAAUUAACACUAUACCUCAAAUUAAAUGUUCGUAAUAUAUUUUAUAAAAAAUAAAGCAUCAAAUCAGAUAUAGUAUUCACAUGCACUAAACAUUACACCACCCAUUAAACUUAUAAAUUUGAUUUAGUCUAUUGACCUUGACCUACAUUAAGGUCAAAAAGACAUAAGAUUAGAAAAUUCACAUAAUAAAAAGUUCACAAAACCAAAAUAACAAUAAAAGUCUUAUGGGUCAAGACUAACCUAAGUAUGUAUGAGUUAGAUUCAAGUUAAGAUAGAUAGGGUUACGACAAGCUCAAGGCAAAUAAAUCGUUCGAGUUAGACUUAAGUGAACAUCGUCUAAGUCAAGCGAAGGUGAAUAGGAUCUACGUUGUGCUAAGUUGAAACAAGCUUACAUUGGACUGAAUCAAGUCAAGCCAAUAUUUGAUCAAGUUGAAUUGGGUCCACAAAAAUACGAAUCAAGUUGGAUCCACGUAGGUCAAGUCGAGUUGAGCACACCUCGACUUGAGGUAAGCCAAACAUACCUUAGAUCUAGUUGAGUAGGGCCUAGUUGAGCCUAAUCAAGUCAAUUCAAGUUUGACCCAUGUCAAGCUCAGUCGAGUUGGUUUCACACCAUACCAAGUAGAGUCAAGCCCAUCUCGGGUUGAAGUUGAGUCAAGCUUGCAUUUAGCCAAGUCGAUUCAGGCUCACAUCAGGCUCAAUUGAGUUUGGUCCCACCCUUGGCUCAAUUGAGUAGGACACACCUUAAGCGAAGUCAAGUCAAACACACCUUGAGUUGAGGCAAGUGGGUGAUACCAACAUCUGACAAAGUUGUGACAAGCUCACAUCAAGUUAUGUAGAGUCAAGCCCAUGUUAAGUCGAACACACCUCAAGUCAAGUUGAGUCGAGCCCACCUUAACACGAGUUAAUUCAGGUCGACUUCAUCCUAAGGUAGGUUAGGCCCAAUGUGGGUUGAGUUGAUUCGAGCCUACCUUGAACCGAGUCGAAUCAGGCCCAAUCGGGUCGAGAUAGGUUGAGCACACAUUAGGUCCAGAUAGGUCAAACCCACCUAUAACUGAGUUAUAUUGGCCCCUUAAGUAGAGUCGAGUUGGUCGACCGUUAGGCUAGAUUAAGCCAGACCCACCUCUAACUAAGUUGGGUAGGGCCCUCCUCAAGCUAAGUUGAAUCAAGUCCACCUCGGACCAAGUUGAGUCAGAUCCACUUCAUGCUAAGUUGAGUCAAGCUCACGUGUACCUGAGUUAAGUCGGACCCACCUAUAAUCGAGUCAAGUCUAGCUCACCUCAAGCCUAGUCGAGUCCCACAUCAAAUCAAGUAAAGUUGUGUCCGUGUUAGACCAACUAAUGUAGAGUCAAGUCAAAUCAAGUCUAGUGAAGUUAAUGUUGGGUUGAGUUGAAUUAAACCCACAUUAAAUUGAGUCGAUUUGGUUCACUUCAAAUUAAGUUGAGUCGAACUCAUAUUUGGUUGAGUAAGUCAAAUUCUAGUUUGAUCAAGUCAAAUUAGACCCAUAUUGAAUCAAGUAAAUAUCAGGAUGAGUUGAGUCGAAUUCAUAUCAAAUCGAUGUUGGACUAAGUUCAAAUCAUACUAAUUCAUGCUAAGACAUUAUCAACUAUGUUUAUAUCUACAUCAAAUAAUAUCAUAUUGAAUCAAAUAAGUUAAGUCAACUCAACCAAAUAAGUUAUGUUAGAAAAAAUUAAGUUGCAAAUAGCAAAAAUUAAAUAAGAAUCAACUUAUCAUUAAUAUAAAAUAUUUGGAGAUCAAUAUGUAAUUUAAAUAUUUAAUAAUUAAAGUAGUAAAAUCAAACCUAAUUUCAUCUUGACCAUAACCCACUAUAUUUAGCAUCCAUGAAAACAAAAAGUGUUUGGAUACUAGCUUUUGUAAACAUCCUGAAAGAGUAUCAGCUGGAUUGAAAAAAACAUGUUUAUAUUACUAAAAAAUAUCAUUAUAUUAUAACACUUAUUAAUAUAUAAAUUACAAUACCUAUAUAAAUUACACUUGCAAAAACUCAUUAAUCGAACGAGAAAUAGAGUAUCAUAAGCGAAAUUUGUCUCUGAACUGGUAAAACUCAAUACAGGACAAAGGAAAUAUGAUCAGUCAACACAUACACAAAAAAGAAACACUAUUCUUUGAAUUGAAAGCCCCUGGUAUAUUAUUGAGAUCUCAAAAGGUUGCAAUGCAACGUUUUUGUUGUUUCGAGGAAAAUAAAAGGAAAAAUUGUACAGAGCCUGAUAUCAGUUGAGUCAAAACUCCAAAACCAUUGGAGUUGCAUAGAAAUCACAGAAUCGGCGAAUUUCAGCUGCUUUGAAAGAAAAACGUUAAUUUUUAUCCUUGUUGGUCACUAAUUCCGUUGGCAUAAUCCGCCAAAGAUAAUCUCUGCAACCUUAGGUGUUGAAUCAACAUGGUUUUGUAAAUAUUCAAAAUUGAGAAUCAUGUAAGACUAAGGGAACUGGCAUAGGAUUGAAGAAGUAGCACAGCUUGCUCAGAAAUGGCCCUGUUUCUUGCUUGCCUCGCCCAACCUGCAACAAUUUCUGCAGCUUCUGUGUCUCGUACACUUUCUUCUAGACAAUCUGCUGCUUCAGCAAGUUUUCCUUCGGCCAAAUAAUUCUCUACUUUAUUGAUGACAGAUUCAAUUCCGUCACCCGAUUGGUCGUCUUCCCUAACCUGAGCACGGAUGAAAGUCAGACAUAGGAUGAGGUCAAUAGAAGCGAGAAUGGGAAGAGUUAGGGCAAGGGGGAAGAAAUAAACAAAGUUAAUAUUCUAUUUUCACAUCAAGCACGGCAUGUUGGUCAGUUAUUCAUAUACCUUCAACCAGGAUGCUACAUGUGCCAAAGAAUGUGCCAGUAUACCUCCCCCUCCUGGUGGGAAAAAGCUGAAGUGUCGCACACUAUCUUUUAAGGCCUCAAACUGCAACGGAAUAUGCACAGAUGCAAAAAACUUUAUGAUUGAAAUCCAAAAGUAAAUUAUUCAUUCUAGAACUGAUGCAGUUACAUAAAAUCAGAAAUUGCUUCAUUAGAUUAAUACUGAUUGUUUUGUAUAAAUUCGUCAGUGUGGAAGGUUAACAUGAUAGGAGCAUUAACAUAAACAAUGCGAUUGAUCAGUAAUGGAAAUUAAGGAAAUCAAAUGAAAGUUUUACGGGGUCAAAGUAAGAACAUUUUGCAGAAGAAAAUUGAGAAUUUUAUUUUAUAUAGAACAAGUAAUCCAAAACUCCAUGCAAAGUUAACAACAGACGGCGUACCUUCUGCUUUAAUUGCAGUUGCGUAUCUGUGCCAUUACUUCGUGUUUCUUCAGGAAGGGAUGCUAGCACCAAAUCCAAAACUGAAUCUUUAUCUAUGUCUCCAAGAUUAGCCUGCAAAGAUGCUAUUUCUUUCUCAAUUGGCAAUCCUUUAGAUAGUGCAUCUUCCAAUGCAAGUGCUCUCUGCAGGAUCCAAGCACAAAAAAAAAGAAACUGGUAAGCAGGGCUGGAAAAACCAAUAAAAUAAUAUAAACCCAUAUUUUGCCACUAAGCCCUUUGAACGAAAGAUGGAUAAAAACAGCAUAAAGAAACAGGUAAAUAGAAACAUUACCAAAGCAAAAUUUUGUGUAGCAUGACUUUGACGGGCUUCUUCAGAUCUAGCAUAAAAUGCCAUGCAUAGGGCAUUUAUCUACAGAAAUUGAAGGAAAUUUUUUUGUAAUCAAGUUAAAUUUUAACUCCGACUGAAACAAAGUCAACAAGUUUGUUAGUUAAUAAAUAUUUCAAGUCAAGCCCUACUAGCUAAAACAUGGAGUCAAUUAAUAAUAAUUUACUCUGUUUUGUCCUUGUCAGCAUGAAUGUUACUUGAACAAUUCUUAGAAGGUUAUCACAUCUAAACAUUCUAUAGCUGUAUGGCUCAUCCUUUGAUGGAGCAACACAGGUCCGUAGACAAAAAUAUUUGAAAUGAAAUUCACUUAUAUACAUUUCACAUUUCUGUUCAAGGUCAUAUGCAGCUGUACUGAAAGCUCUCUGCAAAUAAUUUAAAACCAUUUUGCUUUGGAUGUACAGAACGGUCUCGCGAAUCAUAGAGGACUCAAAUAGUAGGUGAUGUUAUUUGGGUUCUCAGCAUGUAAACAUUUAAGACAGUUCCCUAGUAUCAAAAAUACAUAAAGGAACACCAUUUCUUUGCUGCCUGCACUUACAUUUGGAUCCGAACACUGUACUAAAAAUUCCUCUAUAAUGAGCCUACUACAUAAUGAACAAGCAGAAUUCAUAUGCUAAAAAUGAUGGAAUGUGGAAUGCAUACUGUAUCAAAAAAUCUACACUGGCAAACAAACUGUAUCUGUUCAGAAACUUGCUGAUGACUAGAAUGCAGUUGCUACCAGCAGAGUUAUAAUUUAUUAUAAUCUGAUAAAAAUUGCUGGAGACAGCUAAAAACAUAAUUAGAUUAGACAUUUUUUUGCACGCUAUGAGUUAAUUUCCAAGACCUUUGUUAAAAACUCUUAGUAUAAUAGCUAUGGAAACUUUUUAUACUCGUAUAAAACUAUUCUGGCUAUUUUAUUCUUCUAGAUGACACCUGUCCAAAUUAUACCCUUUUCUAUAAAUUAAUUGAAAUCAAGAUAUGAAAAUUUAAAAGUGAUCUACACAUGCUUGAUUUUAGCAGAAAUCUCACAUUAACUUCUGCUUCAGCCAUUUUUUCAAUUUGGGCUGCCUUCUCAUUUGCUAUGACUGCAUUUAACUCUGCCUUUGCUAAUUCCUGAACUUGUUUCAACUUCAAUUCAGCUUCAAUUUCCUGCCACCAAAGAUACAUUAUGUUAACAAAUACUCCUUCCUUCCCAUGAUAGUAUCAUGUAAGAAGAAGAAAAAAAGUCCUAAAAUGCACGUUUUUUUAGUUUUUUAUGUGAUAUUUCCACUUAUACUCCUAGUACGUGUCAUUUUAUCUUUUCAAUGUAAUAUUGAUGAUAAGGUUAGCUUAAUAAAAUUACUAUUCUCUUUCAUUUAUUUAUUACAUUUUUAUUAAUGUCCAAAAAACUGGGGUGACACUUAUUAUGGAUAGAGGAGUAUUAUAUAAUAACAGAUAAGAGUAACAGCAGCCAUGCAGAGAAAAUGAGAAAACAGUAUUUGUAAAACCAACAAAAAACUAAAUAUGUGCCUUUUGUUCAAGUUCUGUCUUCAAUUUCUCUUCCAUCUUUUCUUGAAGUGACUUGAUAGCAAGGGCUGCUUUUGCUCUCUCUCUCUUUAGCUCCUGAAAAGUAUUAAAAGGGAAAAAAAACGAGGAAAGCUAGAGUUAACGACUUAAUGGAAUUGGAUUCUGUUAGUCUGGAGAGGAAUUGACAAGGAAAGGCAAACAACACAUAAAAGAAAUUGUUCAACUUGAUCAGACUUCAAAUUGGAUUCUGAUUACAAAACAAGCUUCACGAUUAUAUAGUAGUAUAGCUUCAAUUUUAGUAUGAACUAUUUUGCUGAAUCAAGAGUAAUUAUGUUUGAGUUAAAUGUAUAACAGAAUCAACCUCUCUCAAAGUCUUUCUUACUCAUGUUAUUCCAACCCAAUUAUUCAAGACAAAACCUCGCUCAAGGUCUUUAUACCAAGACAACUAUUUGACACAAAAGCCAACAAUAAAAACUAUGUUAAAUUGAAUACAAAUUGAAAAGAGAAGCCAAAAGGCCUUUUACCUUGUCCAACAUUGCAGCCUCCUCGGCGAGCAUAAGUUCCAUGGCAGCUGCAUCUUUCAACUGCUUUUCAUAUUUUUCCUAAUUAAACAAAGAUUUCAAAGCUGAUCAAUAAACCAAAAUGCUCCAAAUAGUAAACACACUUGCAUGGAUUUAGAGAAUGAGUUACAAAGAAUAGUAUGUCAUAGGCCAAACCUUCAACAAUUUCUUCUCUUCAUUAAAAACACGUGCAUCUAAGUCCGCCUGUCUUUUCUCAGCAGCAUGAAUGGCUUGCAAGAAAUCAAAAACCAGUUUCCCAUCCUCAGACAUAUAACCACCUCUCAACUCAUCCAUUGCACCACUAAGUGCCUAGUGUUUGAACAUGUUAGACUUCAAGGAUGUUUAAGAUCAUAAAUAAAUGGACCAGAAAAAAAUAUAUAAGACUCCGAAGUACCUCUUCUCCUUCAGGGAAAUGGCUAUUUUCACUAAAGCCAUGACUAUAUAUAUAGGCUGCAGGGUUUCUUUCUGACUUAUUCCUCAAGUGAUACUCCUCAAGGAGGGUGGGUUGUUGCUCUGUAUAUUUGCCUAAUGCACUCUGUGAUGGACAAAAAGAAAUAAAUGUUAAAAUCUAUUUUAGAAAAAGAAAAAUUAAUAGGAAAAAAAUCCUUGGUGAAUGAGAUAGGGAACCCUGAUAUUAAGCUAUUAACCUCUAUAUCAAGCUUAUACCAACUCAUAAGUACCUCUUUUUUCUCCUCUGAAUCUUGUAUUCCUAGUUGCACUGAUGGAAUAUUUUCUGUCCCAUUUUCAUCUGGAACUGAACUUAUCUGUGUAGAUGUGAAUGUAUUUUGAACUCCCUUUUCUGGUCUUGGGGUAUUGUCUGCCUCAAUGCUUUUUAUUCCAAUAAUCCCAUCAGAUUGCACAACAGAUUCUUUACUUGGAUCAUCAGAUGUUAGACUGCUUUGAGGAUAUUCAGGCAAUUGGUUUUCUUCUGGAGCAGCAAUACUAUCUUCGGCAAUAUUAAAUUUGUCUUGCACAGGACUUAGCUUAUCCACUUGAUCUUCUAUUACAUCUUCUGGCUGUGAAAAAUGGGUAUCAAUUUUCCCCUCUGCAAGCUGUACAGUGGGAUUUUCGUUGUUUAAUAUCUCGUUAGGUGAAAUUAACUGGUCCGUUGAAUGUUGUACAGUCUUCAAUUCUUCAAUGGUUGCAUUGACAUUUGCUUCCUGUGGAACACUAUGAUGCUCUUUCUUAAGAUAUUGAUCCAAAUAACCAGUUUGAUACGCUGCGAGAAAAGCAGCACCUAAGGCUACACUUCCAAUGAAAAACUUUGAUAGAGACCCAUUAGACUCAGGUGGCUUGCCCGGGGACCCAGAAGCUGAGGCACCCCCUGGCUUUGAUGUACUUGAGAAAUUCCUUUGUGAAGAUAGAUGUAAAGGUAUCUGCUGAAUUAUGUAUGAAGAAAAUAAGGUAAUCGUCAAACUCUAGGAAAGAAAGAAACAUUGAACUAAAACCAUGUAUUUCUGAGACAGCACAAUUGUUUUAUUUAUAUUGAGAAAAAAUAAUCAAAAAAAUAGAUACAGGAAAUUUUAUAAAUCCUGGAAUAAGAAAAAACAUCUCAAUUAUAUAUGUAUGUAUGUAUGUAUGUAUAUAUAUAUAUAUAUAUAUAUGUGUGUGUGUGUGUGUUGUGUGUGUGCGCGCGCGUGUAUGUAUUAUUGGUUAUAUAUGAUACUAUCCUUAUUUCUAUAAUUACAACAGUAAUAAAUUAGAAAAGGCUAACAUAUGAACCUGAUUGAAAUUUGAUAGGAACCCAAUUCAAUAUAGAUAGAAUGCUCCAAUACAAUGUUAAUUAGGGCAGACACAGUAUUUUUUUUUUUUUUUCAGAAGUUGGAAAAUAAAAAAAUUGUUGACAUUGUAUCCAUCCUAAAAUCUUAUCAAACAAUCACAACAACUUAAUCACCUAAGGUGAAAUUCUACAUUUUUUUUCUACCUACCUAACUUUCUCUUGAAUGCACUUGCUCCUAAUCUUGUCUACUUGUCUGGCUGGUAUUUUCACUGAAAAUUGCAACAUUAUCAUUUCAGCUAGUUAAGUUCAUUCUAUUGUUGAUAUAUUAUCAAUUAAUAUUCAAUGGCAUCUAUUGUUGUUAUAGAGUUAUUACUACAUGCUUAUUUAGAAUCGAAUUGAAAAUAAGGACUACCAAAUCAACAACCUAAGCAGUUCUUAGUACAUAUAUAACACAAUAAAUUGUACCUUUGUAGCAAGAAGAAUGUAUUUACUUCCAGUACACUUUCUUGUCCUACAUAUCUAUAAUUAAAUUAACAUAAUAGCAACAGCAGCUGGUAAAAAUAGCACCAAUUUUACAAUACAUUGGUAUAUGAAUUCAUAGAUAAUUGUGGUAUAAAAAUAUCAACCAAGCUUCAUAACAGUAAGUGGGGUUGGCUAAAUGGAUUAAAUGGUGGAAUAAUAAGGUCAAGAGACAAACCCUUGGUCUUUAUAUUGCAACAUAAGGUCAAGAGACAAACCACAGUGGUCUAUACAUAUUUCUUAAUUGUUUUGCCUAUAAUUCUUCUUGAUCCUCCCUUGCCUUUAGUAAUUAAGCUAUCCUCUGUCCAAUCUACUAGUCUAAUUGGGGAUUCUACUGAUCUUUUCACACAAACCCUAAUUACCUAAAGCGAGAUUCUACUAUUCUUUCAACAAAAAGUGCCCUAUCUUUCUAUCAUGCAUUUGUUCCAAAGUUUACUUUGUCUACUUGUUUAAUAUGUCCACUCAACCAUUUGUAACAUUCUCGUCUGUACUAGUUAAGUUCAUCAUCAUGUUGAUAUUUCAUCAACCUACAUUCAGUGCUUUUGAUUGUAGUUACAGAAUUAUUACUACAAGUUAGUUCAAAUCAAACUGAACGUAUGAUAUAAAAAUAAAGAUACUAAAUAUGCAGACAGCUUAUAUUUUUCAUUUGAGGGCAUAAUGCUUCUACUCGUGAUUCAACAUAGCAACAAGGGGCAUACAUGAAGGCACAAGUGACGAUCCAAUCGCAUCAAAAUGGCAAAAAGUACUCUUGCUGCUUAAAAUAUCCUAAGAUCCUCAAGGUUAUUUUGCUAUUUGAACUAAGCAAUUCUUUCUUUAGUAACUACAAAAGUACUACAUUUUCCAGGUAAUAUACUCUUCCUACUUUGCUUGUAGCACAACUAUGAACUAUCUACAUUUGAGCAUACAACUUCUGAAAUCCAACCACCUAUUGAGUAUUUUACCCCAAGUAAAACAAUCCUAUACCAAUCCUAUGUAUCAGUUAGUAGCCAGAGGUCUCCGUCACCAUUAUAGUUUUGUUUUUAAUUUGUAAACACUUCCAAUAGAUUGUUGGAUAUACAUAUAUAUGUAUCUUUUUUUUAUGUAGAGAGAUAUAUCCAUAAAAUAUGAUCAUGGGUGAAUAUGGAGCAAAAUCUAAUAGAAACCAAUUGUGUGUGCACUAUAUGGAAAAUAUAGAAGAAGAGAAUAAAAAAAUGUGUAGUUGGUAGAAAAUGAAGUGAGUGCAUGAUUGAAACCUAUUUAGAGUAUAGACUAUAAUGAACACUCCUGUCAAUGCUUUGUCACUUCUAAAAUGUCUAACUCUGAGUGACAAAAACAUUGGUCUUUAAAUAGCUCAAACAAAGCCAUAUUCAGUGGCAAAUAGCUUGAAACAUCAGGUUUCUCCAACCGAGGAGGGCCGUCCAUGCAGCAGCAAAAAAUAGGGUUAACCUCGAGACUUGUAUACUUGUUUAUUUAAUACUAUGUUUUCCGUCAUAAAUACAUUUUGGUCAUCUGGAUAAUUUUUGGGGCUUCAGUUUCUUAAUCUGUCUCUGUUACUUAAGGCCUCUAUGAUCUCUGCCUACUAAUGGUAGGCAAUUUAGUUUGGGUUUCAACUGUAGGGCUACAUAAUUUCCAAGUCUUUCCUAGCUCUUAAAGUUUAUUUUGGCCUUCGGCUUUGUGUUUGUUCAUGUGACACAGCCACAAGUGAGGUCGCUAGAUUAAUCGUCUUCUUACUUUUAACCUUACUAUACUUUUUCUAAUUUCCCAAUAUACUCAUAACGAUCUGAAUCCAAAGGUAGAUAGCACCCAAUGUACGCCUUUCAGUAUACCAGAGCCAUUUGGAAUUAAGGGCAGAGAACAAAAUGAUCGAAAAGUAAGAAGCAAAACAAUAUGCUUUUGAAAAUUAUAAAACAUAUGGGUAACCUAAAAGACCAUAUUCCAUCAAUUGCAUUGAAAAUAAAAUGUAAAAGAACCUGAUAAACAAAACGUCUGGGGUUCGUUCUUAAAGCUGAGCGAGAAGAUAUUUGCAAAAUGGACCUAAGAAUUGAAGUCACAGAAAAACAAAAGAGCGGUCAGAAAAAUCAAAUCAUUGGAAUGUAAAAAAAAAAUAAAAAAUCGAUUUAGCAGGAAUCCAGAGAUGGAAAAGAAAAGAGGAAAAAUUGGCGUUGGUUCAUAUAGGAUAGCCGUAGAGUACCCACCUGCGCAACAUGGCAGUAGGAAAAACGUGAAAUUGAGAGUGAAGAAGUUGAAUGGAUCCAGUGAGUGAGAGUGAAGAGGGAAUGUUUCCGCAACAGUGGUGCAACUCACCCUUAAUUUGGCUACACAGAUGAACACAUCAAAUUUUCAGAAAUGUUCUGUUAUGUGAUUUUGAUUGAUAAUUUUCUGCGUUCAGAAACGAUGAUCCGACGUAUGACCCGUUUGUUUUAACUCCGACCCCAAAAUUUGACCCGAAACCAAAUAAACUCAAUUUAUUAAUAUAGUUGUUGAUUAUUAAUAAUAGUUGAUACUAGCACAAUACGGGUAAUUUAUGAAACAGGAUUUAUUUACUUUUGAAAUCAUUUUAGAGGGGUUGAAUUUUUUUAAUUUUAUGAAAUAAGUUGAAGUUCAUAGGAGUUGAGAUUACUUUAUUAACAAAUAUUAAUAAAUAAUAUAAAAUGAAACAUCAUUUUUCAUAUGGAUAAUUUUAAACUUUUGUUAAAUAAUAAGAAGUAUAUUUUAAAUUUAAUUCAAUUUUAUAAAAUCGAUUUAUAAGAUAAAGUUUAUAUUUAUAUAUAUUUUAAAUUGAUUUUAUUUGUAGUCAAUAUUACACUUAUAACAUUUAUUAUGCAUUUUGUAAUCUAGAAUAAAGUUUAAACCCAUAUAAAUUGACCAAUGAUCCUUAUUUGGCAUAUGAUGAAAUUUAACUUUGUAAGCUUUCUAUAUGCAUCAUAUAUAGAAUCAAUAAAUGUUCAAAGUUUUAAGUAACAACAAAAACACUAAGACAAGGCAAUUUCUAAACUUGGAACUCUUUACAAUCACACCACGACUCAUUUAACUUAACAUUGUAUGACAUUGGUUAUGACAAUGUUGGGGAUUCAUUAUCUUUUGGACAUCAAAAACAAAACAUUGUCAAUUAUACCAUUGGACAUGACACAUGGUUUAUCUUUGUUUAUUUUUCUUUGAAUGACAUUGUGACAUUUUUUUUGGUAUUGAUGUCAUGGUGGAUAACAUUUGUGAUAUCUUUAUUUCUCUUUCAAUGAAGAAUUAGUUCUUUCAAAUGGUUUUUUAACAAAAAAAAAGCAAUUAGUAAUUCCUUUUAAAAUAGAGUUCAUGUGUUUAAGUAUAUUAGUUGUCAUGUGUUCAUACCUAUUGUCUUUAUCAAAUGUUUGAGUCUAAUUUUCUAAUGGUAUUUGAUCUAUCCAUGAAAUCGCUUGUAGGAACUCUGACCUCUACAACCACACCACUAUAUGCUUACAAUCCAAUUCUACCUAUAAAUUAUUAUCGACCUACAAUAUUUUCAUAGCCAUAUAAUAAUGAAAGUGGAGAUGAUGAAUAUGACGAUCAAAAUGAUGAUAAUAUUGAAUAACAAUUUAUCAUGUGAGUUGCAUACAUCGUUUAUGAGAAAUUAAGAAAACCAAGGACAUAAAGGACAACAAAUUUUGAUAAUGAUUCACAUAUAUAAAUAUUUAUAUGUAUUUUCAUUUUAAUUAUUUUAAUCUUCCUAAAAAUCUUAUUAAUGUGACUAUAGACAUGUAUUCAAUUAAUUAAAUUAAUUUCAAACAUCAUAACAGUUAUAUAAAAAACAAAUAAAUUUCGUUAGAAAAAAAAAACUACUUUAUUUUAAAUAAAAUUAAAAAAUUCACCCCUUUUCAAAUGAAUUUAAAAGUAAAUUAACUCUGUUUCCUAAAUUAACUAGCAGAAUACAGAAAUUAUCGUAAUGUUUAUCUUCUUUUUUUUCAUUUUUACCUUAAGAUAGAAUUGAAAUAAAAUGACGACAUAACAUGAAAAUAAAAAUGUAAUGAGGACCUUAAAGGAUGUAAUUGAAAUAAGAGGUAGAAUAAGAUGUUUUAAUAUAUUUCAAUUAUUUAAUCUUAAAAGUGAAUACCUUAACGAGGUCACUAAUCUAUAUGCUUAUUCAUGAUAAUGGUCUAUGGCAUAUGUGUAGAGAUUUUCUUUAUGUUAUGGCAAAUAUCAUAUGGGCUACUAGCAUUUUGUACAUUAUUUGUUACAAGUGGUAUUUAAUAGUAUUAAAACAAUAUUUAUUUUACAUUUUAAACAAAGUCUUUAUAUUUUAAAUUCAUUACAAAAUGAGAAUAAAUAAUUUUUUACAAUGAAUAAUUAUUUAAAUUCAAAAAAUUGUUAUUACUUUAUAAAAGUAAAAAUAAGUUUUUAUUAUAAAUAAUUAUUUAGAUUUAAAAAAUAAUAAUUAAGAGGAGAAAAUAAAAAAAAAAGAUACAAAAGUUUAUCAGCUAUAUAUAUAUAUAUAUAUAUAUAUAUAAAAUGUGAAUAUGAACUAAUUUUAUUGAUGUAAUUCCAUUUAAUAGAUUUAUUUAUCUAUUUUAUAAUCACAAUAAUGUCCCAUAAUUUUAGAAAACAAAAACCAUAGUUUACACACAUAUUUGAAUAGAUAACAGUGCUUUUUUACAUUACGCAUAUAUUUCAAAUAUUAAACUAUUUUCAAAUGAAUUAUUUAUUUACAGAAAUAAUACAAUUUUUCAACUAUAAAUAAAAAUAUCAAUAUUUAUUUACUCCUCAUUAUAUAUUCACCAAUAUUAAUAAUUUUUACCGUAAAGUGAUGAAUUUGUUUGAGAGCACCAAACUUGCACCAAAAACAAGAACAUACAUUAACCUAAACACCAAAUCAACAUCAGGCAUCAGUGUCACGAGCAAAAUACACUGCGUGUGACAAAUUUCUGGUUCGCGUUCUUCAGCAGAAAUGGGGAAUAACAGACAGAGGAGAUUCAAAACUCAUCGCGGUCAAUCAAGUCGACACCAACAACUCUUAGUGUAAGUUCUUUCCCAGUGCUUGUGAUUCAUUUUUUUUUUAUUCAUAUUUAGGCGCCUUUUGCUUAUUCAUUCACCUAACCCUGCUUCAGAGAGGACGAUUGUCAAAGCUCUUUUCCAGGUACUUCUCGAUUCCAUUUUUUCUUCUUCUAAACAUAGCAUGGUUUGUGUUCGCCACAUGAUAUUUUCUGUAACAGUUGAAAAUGGUGAGGGUGAGGAAGAGGAGGAGGAACUCACGGAACCCAAAAUAAAGCUUGCAAUGUGGGUAUGCAUAUAACCGUUUUAGUAAUUUUAAUUUAGCUGAGAUUAUUAGCUUUUAAUUAUUUGUUUAUUUUUCUAGGUAAGAAAAAGAACAAUGGCUACUGCAUGGUUUUUAUUGUGCUAAAUAUAUAUAUAUAUAUAUAUAUAUAUAUAUAUAUAUAUAUAUAUUUCUUUGUAAACACAAAUAUACAUUAAUAAUUGUUUGAAGGGUGGCAUUGGCUUAGUUCGCAUUCCAGGGUGAUACUGUUACACUAAUGGUUUUAUGCUUACAUUUUAUGAUAACUAAUAAGUUGACAUUUGAAAUAAAUUUAGAAAUAUUUUUUAUUCCACCCUCAGUUUUGAACGCUAGAAAUUAUUUUGGUAAUGUUCCUUCAAUUUUGUUUAGUAUUGCUAUACUACUAUAUAUGUCGUCACUGCAUUCUAAUCUUAUAUUCAUACGCCAUGUAAUACGUCUUUGAAUUUUGAAUAUAAUUGGUUUUUUGUGACUCAGGAUUUUGGGCAAUGCGAUGCCAAAAGGUGCACUGGUCGCAAGCUUUCAAGAUUUGGCAUGCUGAAGGCAAGUAUCUGUUAUCUUUUUUUGUUCGUUACGUGAUUAGCAUUUAUCACAUGAUUAAGUGUGUUCUGUUCAUACAUAUUUGCAUUUAGAAGCACAAACAUGAUUAUAUAUAUGUCCAAGUAUAUCUACCUGGAUCUUGUAUCUGAUUUAGUUGGAUGUUAGAUUUCAUUGCCGAUUAGAGUGGUUACUUCUUUCAUAUAAAAUAAAUAGCGCUUUAUAAAAGGUCAGUUCUCAAAUCAAAAUGCAGAGUGAUGUUGAUUUUCAAUGCUAGGGUAACAACUAAGUCAUUGGUGGAAGUUGCAAAAUUUUGGAAGAUUAUAUUAGAUAUCUUGGUACACCUGAAAAUUCAAAUGGAAUAUUGUGCAAGAGUUUCUUGAACAUAUCAAAAUUAUAUAAAGGGGAAGAACAUACCAUGAUUGAAAUAUGAAGAGACAUUUCUGAGAAAACAAUGUCAGUAAAAUGAACUAUUCUUUACGAAUUCUGAUUAUUUUUUUAAAUGGGAAGAUCUUUUGGAUGGGAAUACAGCUUGAAGGCUUUUUGCUUAAAUAAAUGAAUCAGUAGAGAUCUAGAGUUUUUGUGAUUUCACAAGCACUUUAAUUGAGGUACUCAGUUGACAUAUAGGUUUACCGAAAUAUCAUAAUCUCUGCUGAUGAGGGACAAAUAGUCUGGUAUUCAUUAUGAUUUAUUGGGGAAAAAACUAGUGACAUUAUAUAAAUUUGAGUUUGUAUGCAAGAUGGAUUGAUUUAUGUUGUUGUAAAAUCACACUUGCACCAUUAUAACUUCUCAUUGAACCGAAUGUGUCCCUAAACUUGCACCAUAUACUAUGCUUCAGUGUUAUUACAUGUUGUAUUUAUUUUACAACAUAUUAGUUUUUACACAUCAUGUUUUCCCAUUUAGUUGGUUAUUAGACUCUGCUGAUGUGGCAGUGUAGUAGGGAACUUUUUUGGAGGCUUUUCUCUCUUGGCAUGUGUAACAAACUGAUUCUAUUGGUAUGUCUUGUUGUCUCAAUAGAAUACAUUUAUUCUCAAACAAUCUACUUCUCUAACAAAUAUCUCAUUCACUAUUCUCCCAAUUACAUUGGAAAUUAUUCAGCUAUUGACUUCCCUGCUCUUGGUUCAUUCUUGGAAUUCUCUCCCUAAAUCCAAAUUUCCAUCACAAAAUCAUAUAUAUAUAUAUAUAUAUAUAUAUAUAUAUAUAUAUAUAUAUAUAUAUAUAUAUAUAUAUAUAGUGACAGGGUGUAAGUCUGGGCAAAUUUACACCUUUAAUAACUGUCAUUGGCUUCAUCAUGAAAUAUGCAACACUCGGUCAUUCUUGUCCAAAGUUCUAAGAAAGAACUCAUACUGCAAAUUUUCAAGAUACUAUAAUGGUCGAAAAUCUGCCUUGUUCCUUCCCGUUUAAUUAUUUAUACACAUAUCAUAUAAUACUAAGUUGGAUGAGGAAACUACCAUGUCCCUCUAUGCAUGUUGCUAAUUACCCUAAUAUUUAUUCUGCCAUUGAGAUUGUAACUGCUGUCUGCUACAGUAGUGGGUAUCCUUGUAGCUCGUUUUGUCCAAUUUGUUGUUGGUUCCAUUGCUCGUGGUUCAAUCAUAUAAAUAUAGUGGAAAUAGGCCAGCUGUUUGACAUUGAGAAUAAACAGUAAAUUUUAUCACUUUAACUAUUGGAUUUGAGUUCUAAUAAAGUAUAUUAAAAUUUUGUCAAAAAUUUCAUACAAUUCAAAAUCUAUUUGAUAUUUUGUUGUUGUUUUAUUGCAUAAUAUAUUAUUAAAAAUAUAAGUAAAUCUUUACUAUUUGAUUGAAUAUUUAUGGAUGUCUAAAUGAUCUUAAAUUUAGUAUACAUUAAUACGUUAUCAUUAGGGGUGUGUUAGCAGAAGUAAUUCACAAAUAGUUCCUUGUUAUUGUUGAUUCAAUAUUCUAUGAAGGUCAUUUGCAUGAUCUAAAGAUGCUCAAUUUGUUAGCAGUACUGAUUUUAGUUGUCUUUGUACAGGAGUUACGAGUGAGUAAUGGUUUUGGAGGCGUUGUUUUAAGGUAUCUUGUUGGAACUUAUCUUUUUCUUACUAUAUCAUGAAGAAUGAUACUUUUGCUAGAAUGUGGUUUAUCUUUAUGUAACAUGUCAACAAGUUCAUGAUUUUUAUCAACUAGCAGUUUGGCCACUGACUAGAGGUGUAGAAAAUGUUAUCGGCUUCUACCUUUAUUAGUUGUGUUGUGCAGGUGUUAACCUGUCUCCUUUUGGCAAUAUAUUUUAUUUUGUUAAAAUUGUUGCUAUCUAAUCAGGUUGGUCGAGCUUUUAGUUAUUGUGCCCUUUUGAAACAAUGGAUGGUUGCUUUCAACAAUUGAAAAUUAGCAAGAUUUGUUGGGCUUAUCGUCUUACCUACUAUUGGGCUGCUAUAAGACUAUUUACAAAUAUCUAGGCUCACGCCUAAGAUAGCUAAUACUCGGCUUGAGAGAGUGUGUGAGAAAUCUCACAUUGAUUGGUUAUAUGAUUAAAUUAUAAUACAUAAGUGGGAUGUAAAUUUUACCUUACUAAAUUGGUUUUCUGAGGAUGAAUUAGGUUUCUAAGAUGAUAUUGUAGUCUAUCCUAGAGGGAUGUGUCCUGGCUUUCGUGCCCUCCAUCAUUGGAUCAGUUACAAAUAUCCAGUCCUAUGCAUGAGAUGUCUAUUCUUUGGUGUGAGAGGGUUUGUUGGAGAACUCAUGUCAAGUAGUGGUUUAGUUAAAAAUUAUAAUAUUGUGUAAACCAGAAAUGAAUUAACAAAUAUGAAGCAAGANCUACUCCCUCCCAUCCCAGGAAUAAUUGAAGAGAGUUAUCUCCAGUCACCAACAUUGGCAUAAAAAAAGUAAGAAUGGAUAAAUAACACAUAAAUCGAGGGCUAUGCGGUAUCCUCAGACAUAUAUGAAAUGGAAUAAAGAUGGACCAAGCUACUUAUGGAUGUAACCACAAUUAACAUCACUACGGUCGGGCUAUCGAACACGGAGUCANAAGUGAAUUACGAGUCGGACCAAUUUGCAAAUCAAUCGAGCGAGCUCCCCUUGCAUGCAAUGAUGUGGUGGUGAACCUCUCAUUUUAUUGAAGCGUUUUUAAAGGAAGCAAUUCUUCAAAAAGCAAAAAUUUCUCAAAAAGAUCAAGUUGCCUUUAUGGUGUCCAACUUCUAAGCCAAUGCAUUCUCUUUUGACUGUUUAGUAGUGAUAUAUAUUGCUAGUUCCUGUGUUCUCUGAUUUGUGAUUACUGAUUUACUGUGAUUCUGUUUUUGACAGUCCUGCUGGAAAUCAAUGUGUCUCAAGAGAAGAUUACUCUAUAAUCCAGACGAAAGGUUUGGCUGUUGUGGAUUGUUCAUGGGCCCGUUUAGACGAUGUGCCUUUUGUUAGGCUACGGUGUCCUGCUCCUCGCCUCUGUAAGGACUUAACUGCCAAAAAGAAUAUAUUCAAAAUUUGUUUUCUAUACUUCAUGUUACAUGUAUAUUUGUGUAUACACCUUGUGAACGAAAAUAUCCAUGCUAGACUCGGGUACUAUUGUAGUUAACUGUGAUGCUUAAAUAUUCCUUCUAGUGGCAUUGUAUUUAAGCUUUUUUGUCAUGUUUAAGGUUGACUAUAUUGACAUGGAAUGUAAUAAUACUCUCAUAUUUUCAUUCGAUUUCAGUGCCAUGGCUUGUAGCAGCAAAUCCAGUAAAUUAUGGUCGUCCAUGCCAACUAUCCUGUGUGGAGGCCUUAUCUGCUGCUUUGACAAUAUGGUACCACGAUGGCUUUGUCUCUGGCUUCUGACUAGAUGAUAUUUUUUUUCUUUUUGCUGAAUGUGCUCUAUAAUUUGUUCACUCCACUCCCCCUUCCCCCUAACCAAAAAAGUGUAACUGAAUAGUUUGGUCUUAGGAAGGGCUAAUUUGUUACCAUACUAGGCUGUCAUUGCUAGAAACGUGCAGGGAUCAUUCUAUCCCAAGUGUUUCACUACUUGUAAAAUUAUGAACAUUAAGAUAAAAGAUUUAGGUCUGAACUUUGCAGUUUGCAGAUAAAAAAAUGUAACUUGCAUUAUAGUUUAUUUUAAUUUGAAUUAAUAUUUACUAUUGAAGAUUAUCCAUUUCUCUAUUCUAUAUGGUUGAAGUUCUUUACUGUGGUCUUGCAGUGGGGAAGAAAAGACAGCAAAUUUAUUGCUCGGGAAGUUCAAAUGGGGUCAUGCUUUUAUGUCUCUGAAUGGGUAUGAAUAUGAUCUAAUUCGUUGAUAUAACUUUGUUAUUCAUAUUUUUCUCACUUCUAAUACAUUUGACUGCUCAAGUUGAAACAUUGGCAUGGUACUUAUUUAUGCCUGCCUGUUAAAUGAACAAAGUAACAGGGCACUCUGAGCCCCUCUUGGAAUUUAUGAUUAUAAAAAAAGAACUUAAUUUACAAUGUUAUCUUUUUGUCCUUUCUGAUGUUUAUUAGAUCCUUUCAGUUGAGUGUAUCACUUAAGUAAGCAUGACUUGCGAAUGAAUACUUCUGUAAAACCUGUCUUUGUACGUAACCAUGGACAGAUUUUUUUUAAAAUAUUAAUUUGGGAUAUCUGUGUUGUCAAUUCUUUCAACAAUGUAAAAUGCUAGAAUUGAUUAGGCAUGUGUAAAUAGCUAGGUACUUGUUAAGAAUUUGGAGAGAAGGGCGCAACUCUUACAGCAGCUAGUUAGAGGGGUUAAUUUAGCAUAAAUAGGAGGAUAUGAAAUAGGGGGCUUUCUGAUUUGCAUCAAUUGUGAAUUUUAAGAGUGAUUUUGGAUUGGAUUUUUCAAAAUCCCAAUCAGAACCAAUAAAUAAAUUGGAUAUAUAAUUGAGAUCCAUUUUAAUUAGAUCAACUUGAUUUGGAUUUUUUUCAAUUCAAUUUAUAUUGGAUUAAAUCUAAAUUAAACCAACUUUGUCAGUUAGAUUAAAUCCUAUGUGAGAUGGAUCUAAUAGACUUGAUGUGGGAUCAACCAUACUUAGCUUGACAUGGUGCCGAUUCAAUCUAACAUCGAUGUAUUGGCCAAGCACAUACCCAAUCUAGCAUGAUUAUUAGGCUGCAAUCUAGCAUGCCAUUAGCUUCUAAAUUACCUCUAAUUAGUCCUUUAAUUUUUCUUAUGAUUGAUUGUAUUCAGGCUAUAAUUAGGAGAUCAAGUGUGUACUAACACAAUUCAGUUCAUGUAGUUGUAUAUAAUGCUACGGUGAAUUCAAGGAUUUGUAAGGAAAUACAAAUUCAUUCUUAUUGUUGUAAGGAAAUACAAAUUCAAUCUAAUUGUUUUAUUUCCACAUACAUUACUAACACAUUCGACUAAUUUCUCAAUUGCACGUUAUUUCAUAGACUCUGCAUUGACAAUUUUAUGCAAAUUAAUGCAGGGAAUUACUGAGGGCCUACUCCAAAUGCCAAAAUAGUGCUGAAAUUAUUUCUGUUCAAAAUGCUUGGCUGUCACAAGAGAGACAAGUUCCAAGAGCUCCUACUGAUGGUCAAGGUAUGUAUUGGUUGUAAAUGUAAUCUUUUUUGCAAAAUGGUGUCCAUAACUAAGUAAUCUUCAAGAUAGAGUAAACCUUGAUGCACGGUAUUCUUGCUGCUUGAUGAUCUUGUCAAGGUCAUUGGGGCAAGUGGAAACAUUUUCUCCACUGAAUGGAGCUAAGGCUGUAUACAUGUAAUUCUCCAUACCCUAUCGUAACAGGAGUCUUGUGCAGCAAUUAGGUGUCUCUCAUUGGGGCUCAAAUUCAAUAUUAAUAUUUUUGUUUUUCUGGCUAUUCUAUCUUCCACAUUGUUUGCUGCUUUGGUGCAAUAGUAAGGUUACUUGCUUGUGACCUGGUUUGCCUUUUUGGAAACACCUUCCCUGGUUGAGGGGAUAACCCUGGAUUCCAUCACUAAGCCUUGACACUAGAUUACUCUUUUUCCCCUUCCUUUUGGUAGUUUUAUUUAGCCUUUUACACCUACUGUUUGAACAUACUCUCUAGUUUCUGUAUGUUCUGCAUUGAAGGUAUUUCUUGAUUCUGGCUAUGUUGAUCUAAAUGCAAUAAAUUUAAUUUUUCUGAAUUUGUUCUGCCUGUACAUUGCAUUACAUCAACUUUUUAAAGGCAGAUUGAGCCGAAAGCUUUUCUUUAUUUGCUAAUGUUUUUUAUACUGGUUCUUGAAAAGUAGUACAUGAACCCUUUAAUGUGCUUUUAAUGCUCUUAAAGAAACUUUUUAGGAGUUGUUAUUUUACUGUCACGAAAGAAAAAAACUAUGUGUAGAUACCUUAAAUAUGUUAUUUGCGAAUUUCAUCCUAAUUUGUUUUGUAUUUGUGCUGUUACGUGCACAGUUGCUACACUAGAAGGUGAGGAUAAAAGUCAGAACUCUUCUGAUUCUGAAGAUGGGCUUCCACCUCUUGAAAAGAACAUGAAUCAUUUGAGUAUAGUCAAUAGCGAUGAAGAGAGUGAGUAGAUACAUGCAUCUUAUAUCUUCAAUGCUAUAUACUUUUCAGAACCAUGUUGCAAUGUUGGAAGUAAUUUGAAGAAAUGUUCGAUGCAGAAGCAGAAUCGUGUAGUUGCAAAACUCUGGUUACACAAAUUGAUGUGUAUUAUUGUCAUGGGGUGGCGGAUUUUUACUAAUAAUUUUGGAUAUUUAAAAUAAUAUUAUAUUACUAUUCUUACUAAUAAAACAAAAAUAAUACAUAAAUUAAUAUAAUUGUAACUGUAAAAACAAAUAACACAAGUAAAUUAAUAAAUGAGCAAUGUUUAAAACUAAUUAUAAAAAGAUAUGUAACAAUUAAAAUUUGAUUUUAUGUUCUUAAAAACAAUUUGUACACAAAAGUAUAAGACCACUUAAAUUAAUGAUGGUAAUAACUUGAAAAGGAUAGUAAUAUAUAAUUUAAACUCUUAUAUUUCAAAAAAUAUUAUUUAAAAUUUUUCCAUGAAAAAUAGUGAAAAAAAACUCAUGUACCAUAAUAAUAUACUAUAAAUAACAUGUUAUAAAAAUUAAUAUUUUAUUGUCAAAUGGGUGUAAUAAAGUUUUGCUUUAAAAAAAAGUAAUAUAUAUAUAUAUAUAUAUAUAUAUGUAUAUAUAAUAAUAAUAAUAAUAAUAAUAAUAAUAAUAAUAAUAAUAAGUGAACACAAGUAAAAAUAAUAAAUUUGUUUUUUUCUUUCUUUUUUCCUUCAUAAAUAAUAUAAUAUGUAAGAGUUUAAUAGAAACAAUAAGUUCUAUGUUUUAAAGUUGGAAUAGAACUGCGUAGAUUAAAACAAUAUCUGAACUUUCCUCCUCAAUACAUUUUAUUUGUUUUUAUUAUUUAUUAUAUUUAAUUUCAUAUUUAAUAUUUAUUAAAAUUAAAUAACACACGUUAUAAAGUAAAUUUUAAAUCCUCCUAAUUUUAAAUCCUCCUAAUUUUUACAAAUUUAAUAAUAAUAAUUUGUAUGUUUUUUUUUGAAAAAAAAAGUUAUUGUAUUAAUAAGGUAAUUAAUUUAACUUUGAUUCAUCCAUACUUUCUAUUUUUUUUAGAUGAUUGAUAAAUUUUGUUAAAAUUCAUAAUAAUGUUUAAUAUGAUCUUAUUUAAAAUAAUAAAAUUAUGAAAAAGUAAUAACAAAAUUAAAAAUAAUAAUAAUUAAGUAAGUUUAUAAAAUAAUAAUAAAAAUAUAAUUUUAACUUAACUUAAACUAAUUAUAUUUUAUUUUGAAUUCAUUUUAACUAUAAAAGUAAAAUUAUAAUCUUAUAACUUUAACUUUAUUAAUUAAGACAUUUUCUUAUCUAUCAACUCAGUGAUACAUUUUUAAACUUUCUUUUCAUUUCUUCUUACUUUUUACUCUUUUUUUUCUUAAUUCAAACAAUCUCAUUUCUCACCUUUUGGCUCUCUCAAAUUUAUCCUUUUUCACUUCAUUACAAAUAACAACACAUCAUGCACAAGGAGAAUCAAUUAUUCUUGAUAGGAGAUUCAAUUCUCUUUACAAAUAUGAAAUCAAAAUUGGUUCUCUUUAUAACUUUGAAAUAAUUAGAAUCCAUUUUGUAUGACACUAGAAUCAAUUAUCUCAAUAAGCAUAAUCGACUCUCUUUACUCAACAAUGACUUUCGUGCAAUUGUGUCCAAAAUUGAUUCUCAUACAAGCAUAAUCAAUUCCAUUUUUACCUCACUAACACACUCCACUUUUGAUUCCAAAAACACUAGUAAAUUCGCAAUAGAGACGUACAACACUUUUCUUCCAAUCAGUCACACAUACCAUAACUUUUAUAACAUAAACGCACCAACCCAACCACUUUAUUCAUGAAGUCUUUAGUGUGAUUCAAUUACCUCCAUGGUAAAAAAUAGCACAUAAUAUUCUUCAAUGUGUAUGUAGUGCAUGCGAAGGAAUCCUUACUAGAAUCUUCGUCAUGCAACUUUGCCAUGUACAUUGUAGAUACCACUCAAGCAUAAUGUCUUGUUAAAAAAAGGAAGGCACACUUAAAUAAUUACAUGAGAGAUGAUUUGUCUUUCAUGCCGCAUCUCCUUACUUCAACAAAGAUGUUUCAUCCAUUAUCUCCCUUAAAUUCAUGUUACAAAUUCAUGCUACUAAAUUAACUACAACUUGUGAAAACAAAUAGAAAUAGACCAGACUUUUCCAUCUGCAACCACAAUAAAUCAUUUAAAGAAAACAUAACAUAAAUGAUACUAAGCGAUGAGUCCAUGACUUCUCAUGAGAGCAUAAAGGAUCUUCCUAAGAUGAUUACUAGGAGCAUGACAAUAAAGAAGGCAUUUAAUCCAUCUUCUAUUUCUUUAUCAACAUUUGUUUAUGUUGACUUAUGGUUAGGUUAACUUAGUGACUUGACUUGAGUUGACUCUUAUGUUUAUUUUAUAGAGUUGACUAGGACCAUAUUGGAGGAGGAUGAUACUACUUGGAGAGGAAGAGAGACUUGGACUUGCAUUCGCACACUUGUGGUGCCUUUUGGAGAGCAUGGAGAACUUUGAGUUGACCUUCCUUUUCUAGAUGGUUAAAGGUGCCUAAGAGAGACUUGGUGGGAAAGCUAGUUCACACCCUACACCAAGAUGUCUUUUUUUUUUUUUUUUUUUUUAAGUGACCUAGUUUUUAGAAGCAUUUUCCUUGUAUUUGCUUUAGUGUCCUUAGGUUUGUGCUUUUUCAAAGAGACCCCUCUCAUCACCUAUAAAAGGAGGGUUCUUAUACUUGUAAAGGGUUGAGUAUUUUGACCUUAUCCACUUAUAUUUAAUCACCUUUAAGAGAGCUCUCUUGAGAGUGUCUUCUUCUCUCAGUCUUAUCUUGAGUCUAUGACUCAAGUGGUGCAACAUCAACUUAUCUUGAGUUUGGUGAGCCUUGUGCCCCCUCAAGUGGUAUUCCAACACCAUAAUCCCAUCUCCUUUUUAGUCUUUCAUCUUUUACUCCAUUUUCGCUUCUCUUUUAAUUCAUAUAAUGCUUGUUUUAUUUGGCUAUUAUGUUUCUUUUAUGUUCUUGUUGAUAGUUCCGCUUAAUUGAACUUUUCUUGUUUUUGAAUAUUUAAAAAUGAAUUUUCACAUCUAAAUAUCUUCUUAGUUUUCUUAAUGUUCAAAGAGGAUCUUUCUUAAAUUUUCUUCCCCAUAAACACUUAAAAAGACUCUUCAUUGAUUAGAAGAAAAUUGUUAAACCAUGAAAUAAUCUAUAGCUUUAAAUGCUUUAAAUGCACUUUUUGUUAAAGUCAGUGAAUUGAAUGUGUUAUGAUUUUGUUUGUAGAUUUUGGAGAUAAUGUUGUAGUAUAAUAUGAAUGCAUUGUUAAUUUAAUAGUGUCAAUUAAUCAACAAUGAUUUAUUUUUACAAACAAAAUGAUGUUUUAAUUUAUGAAAGCCAGACAUAGUACACACGAUAUGUUAUGUUUGAAAAAACGUGUUACCAUGAAAUACCAACAAUAGAGAACUGUAAUGCUUAAAAAUAUAUAAAAUAAAAUAAAAUAAUAUUUUAUAUUAUAAUUUUCUCAUUAGAGAUGAUGUAAUUUAAUUUAUUAGUCUAUUUUGUUAAACUCAAAUUUCUUAUUAAUCUUGAUAGAUUAAGAUAAGUGGGUUUAAAAUUAAUUUGUGUAUGUAUUUUUCUAGGUUUUAAUAUUCUUCAAAUUCUUUUUGGUGUUAGCUUAUUUUAAAAAAGUCAAAUCCUUUAGCAUUAAUAGAAGAAUUUAUAUUCAAAUUUAGGAUAAGAUAUUAACAUAUUUUAGUUUCUUCAACUAAAUUCGUCAAUUUUAUGAAAUAAGAUUUUAUUUAUUUAUUUUUCGUCAACUUAUAAAGUCAAUAAAAAAAGAGGACUAACCACGACUUUUUAAGUCCAUCAUUAACUUGUAGAUAAACUCAUUCUCACUGAUUUUUAUAUGUCAAUAGUAAAGUGAGCAAAAUAAGUCAAUUCACGUGACAUUUAUCUAUCUAUUAUUUUUUCCCAUCAUUAUUAUAAAUUGCAUUGAGGCAUACUUCUAUUAUGUAUAAAGAUACAUUAAAAAAAAUUAUGUGAUUUUAAACUCAUAUUUUCUUAAGCAUUUGUCAUAAUUAUAAACUCAUAUUUUAAUGAAUAAUAUAUAUAUAUAUAUAUAUAUAUAUAUAUAUAUAUAUAUAUAUAUAUAUAUAUAUAUANCCCAUCAUUAUUAUAAAUUGCAUUGAGGCAUACUUCUAUUAUGUAUAAAGAUACAUUAAAAAAAAUUAUGUGAUUUUAAACUCAUAUUUUCUUAAUGCAUGCAUGCUUUUAGAAAUUUAUUAAUUUUUUUAAAAAAUAUAUAUAUAUAUAUAUAUAUAUAUAUAUAUAUAUAUAUAUAUAUAUAUUUAUAUAGUUGGAAAAGUGGAUAAAAGGAAUAUUAGCAAACCUAGAAAACAAAUGUUGAUGACAUGUGUGUGGAGAUUGAAGACAAAGUGACAGAGUUUGCGGCAAUUGGACAAAGGAAAUCCGAAACCUUAAACUUUAACUACUGCUGCUCUCCUUCUUCAUUCCUCUUCUCUCCUUUUCUUCUAUAAUAUUCACAAACAUCUUUCUUUCUCUUUCUUUUCUUCAUACACAUUCCUUCUUCCCCCAAAACGCAGUCGUAUUUCGCUCUUCUUCAACAUUUGGUAUUGCCGCUGCUUCUUCAAUUUCCUAUCCUCUCUUUCGUUCUAUGCUUUUCGUUAAUUAUCUGCAUUCACUCCCUUGCUUCUCAACUACCUUCCCUCUUUUUCCCUUUAUCUUUUCAUUAGGUUCUAGGGUUUUACUUUUCUAACAAAUUCUUGCAUUUUCCUUUAUCAAUUCCUUCUAUUGGCUCUUAGGGUUUCACCCAUCAAAUUUCUCGCGCAGGUUUGCUGGUAUGAGUAAAGUCUUCUCCGAUAUACUCGCGGACAAGCUGUCCAAGCUCAACAGAACCCAGAAGUGCAUUGAAAGUAUCCUUCUUUUAUAGAAAAACAUGUUUAUUACUUUUUUUUUAUCGAAUAAAUGUGCUUACUUGUUAUAAUUACUUCGUCGAAUUGGGGACGGGUUAGUAGUGUUUCUGUUCAGAGGAAGAAUGUUAUUCAUGAAUGGACAGCGUGAUGUAGUUGAGAUGCUUUUGGCGUGUUAAAUUGGGAAUUGGUCUCUGCAUAAAUAGCUUUUGGUGUAAUUGAAUUGCCAUGUUCGUUUGUAAAGGUGCCAUUAUAUCUUUAGGUAUCGUGGUAAUUGUGAGCUGGUCAAUAUUUUCAGUUUAUGUGGGAAGAAGCAGAAAACUAUUGAAUUAUGACUUUUGAUUGAUGAUUCUGUGAAGGGCAUAUGAAUUGUUGCCCUAGAUUUGUAUGUUGUUGAUUCCUUUUGGUGUUUGAAUGGCUUGAAUAUCUUUCCAAUUUUGUCUUUGUGAAAGUUUAUGAAUGUUAUUAUUGUUUUUUGGAUAAGCAAUGUACAAACGUAAAAGUUGUCAUGUGUUGAGGUAGAACUAAACUUUCUAUUCAACUACAAGGAGAGCUUUUAUCUGUGAAGUAACAUGUUGUACUGAAAGGAACUUAGUGGGCUGUCUGUUUCAAUCAUGCUAAAGGCAUCAAAGUAGUAUUUAAACGCAGAUGUGUGUGUUUCAUGUGAUCCGUAUAUCGAGGAGAUGAAUAAAUUAAUGCCCAUGUAAAUUUGACUUUAUGCUAAGGCUCUAAUUCUGCAAGUUUAUCCGUCGUUUCUUUGGUUUAUAUUAAUAAUAAAGUGCACAAUUUUGCUUUAUACAUUACCCUUUCUGCUUUUAGGCGGACAGAGAAUUGGAUCUUGAACUUUUUACUGCCAUCCUUCUGUCAUCUAUUUUAAUUUUGCUGCCAUCCUUCUGUCAUCUAUUUUAAGACCCUAAACACAUUAUUGACCAUAGCAAUGUCCACCUUUAUAAAGGAUUUGCCUAGUGCUCUGGCAGCCUAGUUUUGUUGACUUUUACUAUAAUUACCUUAAAAGUUAGUUGAAUGGUUAUUUGUGUUUGGAUAACGAUGUAAAAUUGUUUUGUGCUCUCAGUGCAAACCAUUAAACACUAAAUAUUACUGCCUAUUAAGUUGAUCUUUUGAAGUGCAUGGAUUGGUUGUUUGUGCCAUAUAUGCUUUGCUAUCUUUAAUUUUUUAAUAGCGUUAUCACAUUGGUGUAUAUUUCACUGGAGCGAGGCAAAGCUGGUAGUGGAAACAUGGAAUAAGCAAUUUCAAAAUUCAGAAAAGGUUCAUCGAGUCCCCCUUCUGUAUCUUGCAAAUGAUAUUAUUCAGAACAGCAAAUGUAAAGGAGAUGAGUUUGUGACUGAAUUUUGGAGGGUUCUUCCCGCAGCACUUAAGGAUGUUUUUGAGAAAGGUGAUGAUCAAGAAAAGCAUGCAGCAUCUAGACUGGUAAGCCCUUUUCCAGGGUCUAAAGCUUUUACAAGUGAAUACAACUAUUCAAAUCAUUCCUUAGAAAUGUGAUAAAAGAGGCUUUUGGAUGGUUUGGGAUUUGGACAUGAAGUUGUAGCAGACUUAUUUCUUCAUGCAAGAACUGAUACCUAUAGCAUAUAAAUGUUGAGAAAUGAUUUGCAUACCAUGAUAUUUGAUUUCAAUGCAGGCAGUUUGAUCUAACUCGGUGCUUACCUUACUUCAGGUUAAUAUAUGGGAAGAAAGGAAAGUGUUUGAAUCUCAUACUAAGAUCCUUAAAAAAUCUAUAUUUGGAGAAGAAGCACCUCCACAGUUGGAAUUCAACAAAAAGCGAUCCCGAUCUGUCAGAAUCGUGAAAAAGGAUUCUCGUUCCAUUAAAACGGUGAGAUGGGAGGCUUUGUGCCUCUUCCCUCCCCAAUGUUAUUCUCCGACAUUUCUAUGCAUUUUAAAUUAUUGCACCCUUCAGAACAGUUUGCAAUUCUUCUUGCGCCGCUAACCAUAUGAAUUUUAUGUAAUCCAGAAAUUGUCCAUUGGAGGUACAGCAGAAAAAAUAGUCUCAGCUUUCCAUACAGUGCUUAAUGAACAUUCCAGUGAAGAUUUAGAGAUGAGUAAAUGCAAGUCAGCUGUUCAACGUGUGAGGAAGAUGGAAAAAAAUGUUGAUAUUGCAUGUUCUAUUGGUAAGCUAUCACUAUAAAAAAUUAACGCAUGAUUUUUGGAAAUAGGAUUCUUAUACUUCUUUCUUUUUUCUUUUUCAGUAAAGGAUCCUAAGCGAAAAACUUUGUCUAAGGAAUUAGAGGAGGAAGAAAAUAUUUUGAAAAAAUGCAUAGAAAAUCUCAAAGUAGUUGAAGCAAGUAGAGCAGAACUUGUAACGCAGUUAAAGGAAGCUUUGCUUGAGCAGGCAAGUAUUUGUUUCUAUAUGCUCAGUAAGAUUUUAUAUUUAAUGUUCAGCAUUUAUUAGGUUUCUGUUUGAUAUUUGAGUCCCAAUGCUAUCUUUUAAUUAGUUGUGUUUUAUGUAUCAGGAAUCCGAGCUGGAGAAUGUUCGGACACAGAUUCAGGUAUUCAUUAUUGUGAUUCUUGUUAUCAGAAGACUGUCCUAUUUUGAGUAGUUUCUUAUGAGAUGAAAAUGGGAUAUAUAUUUUUCGUGUAUCUAGGUUUUCCAUUAUUUAAUAACCUUUCUCAUGUGUCUCUUCUUAGUAUAUAUGUAUAAAAGGUAAUUGGACCAUAUUAUAUAUAGUUUGUAAAAUGUUCAUGAAUAGUGUUUUUAGUCGUAAAACAUUUUAGAGAAUAAAUUAGAUCCUCCUUCCUCAAGGUGUACAUGGUGUACGCAAACUCUACUGUUCUUUUUUAAAGUAGUAUACGUGUCUGGGAACGUUUGUAAACUGGGAAGGAGAGUGGGGAAUUCGGUGUUACUUCUGAAAGGUUUAGAUUUCUGAUUUUAAUCUCUAAAUUUUGUUUGUCCAUUUUAUUACCUCCCCGGGACUGAAAUUGAUGAGGGAAAAUGAUUGAAGGAUCAAAUAUGGAUAAAUUUUUAUAGAAGCUAAAAUUCGAAAUAUGAAAUCUUCUAAGGACAAAAAAUAUUUAACCCUUUCUGAACGUAGGAGUGUAUGACAUACCUUUUAGGAACCUCAAAGGCGUUUGAUUUAAUAAACUGAGUUUUGAAAUAGAAACAACUUAGUGUACUAUCUCACAAAUUUGAAAUAACUAAGUUCCUGCUGAUCAUUACAGGCCAUUAUAUGUAUGUGUUAUUAUGCUUUCAUUCAGGAAAUUUGUCAGGAUUUUGCUGCUUAUGUUGCUAACGAAUUUGAAUUUGAUGGUAUGGAGGUAGCACAAGCACAAGUAGAAGAGGCUAGCAACAUGCGGAAGCGACUUGAUGAAGAUUCUUCAUAUAAAGCUUCAACUGCAACGUCUUCUGUUACUGAUGUGAAUAUAAAAUCAGAACCAGCGACUAAAAAGUCAGCCGCAGCAAUUGCAGCUGAGGUUGCAGAUAAGCUAGCUGCUUCUUCAUCAUCUCAGUUUAUCAUGACUUCUGUUCUCUCUUCAUUUGCAGCAGAAGAGGCAAAAAAUGUUAGUCUAACUUCUGAGUCAAUGUCAAAACCUGAGAAGUCAAUACCUAUAUCAGAUCCAAAUGUUUUUAUGUCUUCACAACAGUUAAUUGCCACAUCAAAUCAUUCAUAUCCACCGGCUAUGGUACCUCAACCCACCUUGCAGAAUCCAACCGCAACUUCACAGAGUCAAUAUCAAUUGCUUGGUAAUUCAUCCUCCCACCAUUAUUUGCAAUCAACUGGAGGGGUUAUUACUCCAUAUGGUUAUGGUAGCGUCCCUCCUCUACCACUGGGACCACCCCCACCUCAUAUGGUGGGUCCAAUGGUGCCUCUGACCCAUCAGACAAUGCAAAUAAGUCAGCAGCAGCCAGCAGCGAUAGCUCCACAUCAACCAAUAAAAUUGACGCAGCAAGCUCCAGUACCUCCUAGUUUUCGACCACUUCAACCGCCGGGAAUGGUGUACUAUGGAAAUCAUCAGCAUUCUAUAUGAUACCCCUACAUGCAGUAGUUUGAUUUUAGUCAAAAUGAACUGUUUAAAAACAAGCCCUAUGGUAUGGUCGCUGGGGUUGAGUUGGCACAAUACAUGGAAGCCAGGCUAGCACCCUGGUCCCUGGGAUGUAAAAGGAAAGUAUCACUUGUCAAGAUACUAAAUGCUUUAAAGAAAUUCGUUUUAGACUGACUGUGCAGUAAGUUCUCUUGAGCAAAGGUAGUGGUUUUUGCUCAACAUAUUUUGACAGAAAUUUUUUGACGAUAAUGUAUCUGUACUAUAUAUACUUAGUUGAUUAAAUAAUUAUUGGAUUAUAUUAGAUAAAGGAAACUGAGGCAGUGUCUUUCCCAUCUGCCUCAUAAUUUUGUGUUUGGUUGAUUUGAGCAACUUUCACAAUUUUAUAUCCGUUGGCUAUAGGAUCUCCGACAGGGUGUGGUUCAACGUAGCAAUAUUUCUUAUGCCUCUCCCCUGUGCUGUGCUGUUGACCAUUGAAGUUUCGCCAAACAUUUCAUAAGGGGCAGAUUAUCAUGCACGGUAAGGUUCAAUAGUAUGAAUCUUCGAAAUUUUGAAUUAUGAAUAAAUUUGACGAAAGCGUUUGUGGGCUACACAUAUACUUAUAAGGAGUGCUUUUCGUUGUUUGAUGUGAUUAAUUUUUUUAAAAGGGAUUUAAAGAUAUUUAAAGGUGAAUUUAUUUCCAAUCUUUCAGAGAAAGGAAAUUGAUUACUAAAUUUCUUUACGUAUUUGUCUGUACAGUAGUAGUAAGAGGAGAGCAUGCUGUGAUAUAAAUUUUGAUGAAUUAAGGAAUAUGGUGUCUGAUGAUGCAUCAUUGUGGUGGUCUACACUAUUGUAUUAUGAAAUGGAAGAAUUGAGACCAAGUCAAAAAUACAGAUUGGAAGGUGUGAUGUUCCUCAAUCACAAUUAAAAUUGAAAUGCCAAACCCAGAAUAAUGUGUCUGUAUAAUGAAAUCACUGCUGUUGAACGUACACCCAAGUUAGCAGCAACUCAGUCAGAAAAGAUGGAUAAAUGAAAUGGAACCAAGCCAUUGCAAUAGAAAGAAUCUAAGCAAGAGGAAAAAUAGUAACAUACCUUUUAAUACAUCUAUACGAAGUGUGUAUUUUUCAAUAAAUAAUAAUAAUGAUGAUAAUAACAAUAAAUUUUUUUAUUAAUAAAUGUCAGUAAUUAAUAUAUUAGCGUCACCAUGCUACAAUUUUUUUUUUAAUAUUUAGGUCCUCUAAUGAAUUGAUCAAAACGUUAUAAAUUAUAAAUCCAAAAUGUUGAUGAACAAUAAAUAGAAAUAAAUAAAAUGGAAGUGGUAACUAAUUUUAUCCAUUCACUUUAUUCAUACAGUGAAUGCGAACAAAUUUACAUUCUCAACAAUAACAUAUACACUUCAGAAAUCUUAGGUUUAUAAUGAUUCAAUUAUUUUAAUAAUAAAAAUUUAAAGUAUAAAUACAAUUUUUAUAAAUAAGCUACAUUAUUUUAAAAUUAUAUUAUUUUUUUAAAAACUUUUUUUUGGAGUUUUCUCCUUUUUGGAGAUUAAAGAUAUUAAGAUGAUUUUUUAUGAUAAAUUCUUCACUUUUGUUCGAUCAAUUUCUCUUAUAAAGUAAAUUGAUUUUUUAUGCAUUUUCUUGGUCUGUAUGUCUUUUCUAUAUAUGUUGACCAUCUUGGUUUACAUGUAGUCCAAGUCUUCUAUAAGGGUUUCUACUAAUAAAUGAAUUUAAUGGUGUAUCCUGAUUGUAAUUGCGUUGUUCAUAAGGGCAGACAGAGCUUCCUAUGUGUUUGGAAGUCAUUUUAGGAUUCUUGAACAGUUGCCCUGGAAUGACCAAUUGUAUGCUAGUACUAUUUUUGGUUUGUGUGAUUGAGUUGUCUAAUGAAAUAUGAUAUGUGGAGUUGAGUUAGGAUUUAAUUUGGUUUACUUGAAUUUUAUUUUGAAAUUGGCUAUGUUGUCUGGUUGGUAUUGCAAUUAAGUCAUUACAAUCUGGUAGUUGGUAUUUUUGGCAUCUGUUAUUGUUGUUGGAUUGAAUUGCAAGACUGGAAUGACAUAAAUGUGCAAAAUUAAGUUCUGCAAAAUUUUGCAGACUUGCUGGGCGAGAAUAUACUUAUUAUGCGAAGCCAAAGCUAGAGAGUUACAGACUAAGUUGUCGUUAGACGAGAAUAUACUUGCUGGGCGAAAUCAAAGUUAAAGAACUACUUAUUUAUAGUUUGUUGGGCCAGAAUAUACUCGAUGGGCAAAGACAAAGUGAGAGAGUUCACUGAUUAGUCUUGUUGGGCGAGAAAAGUCUUCCUAGACGAUUUUUGUGAGAACUUAAUCCUGUAACUUCUAGUUAUAUUCUCGUUGGGUAAGCUAUCUAGUCGUUGAAUGAGUGUGCUCUCAGACACCACUCGUUAUGCGAAUAGACAUUGUCGCUAAGCAAAAUUAUCAAAGUUCAACUACAUUUUCAUAUGUCUCGUAUGGUAUGUUUAAUGUGUGGUUUUGUGAAUGUUAAAAUGAUGGUUGGUUUAUAAUGUAAUAUAAGAAUGGUUGGUACUAAUCCUAAGAGGAUUAAUGGUGAUUACAAUAGUGUGUACUGAUAUAUGGAUUUCAUGUUAGGAGUUAUCUUAUCGUAAUAUAAGAAUGGUUGGUACUAAUCCUAAGAGGAUUAAUGGUGAUUGCAAUAAUAUGUGUACUGAUAUAUGGAUUUCAUGUUAGGAGUUAUCUUGUUGUAAUCAAAGCAAUCUAAGUUAGUAAUAGAGAUAUUUGUGGUUUAGCUUGCUACUAUAGGAGAUUUAUAGAAGGAUUCUCUAAAGUAGUGACACCUUUAACACAACUGACAAAGAUUAACCGUUUGCUUGGAUAGACAAGUGUGAGGAAAACUUUCAAGAAUCGAAGCGGAGGUUGUCGAGUGAUGUUGGUAAUCCUUAACACAAGUAAAUCCUUUGAGAUUUACUGUGAUGUUCCUCAUUAAAGGUUAGGUUGUGUGCUUAUGCAAGAAAAGAAGGUAAUUUCUUAUGCUUCAAGAUUCAUGAGAAGAACUAUCAUACUCAUGAUUUGGAGUUGACGACAGUAGUGUUUGCUUUGAAGAUAUGAAGACAUUAUCUAUAUGGUGCAUAGUUCUAACUAUUCAAUGACCACAAGAGUUUGAAGUAUCAUUUUGAUAAGAAAGAGUUGAAUAUGAGGUAGAGGCAAUGGAUAGAGUUCUUGAAGAAUUAUGACUUUGAACUGCAGUACCAUCUAGGAAAGGUAGAUGUUGCGGCAGAUACCUUGAACAUGAAGACAAUAUAUGUUUCUUAUAUGAUGAUCAGAGAACUUGAGUUGGUAGAAAAUCUCAGGAAUAUGAAGCUACAUAUGGAGUUAGGAGCAAAUUUCAUUAGAUGUAGUAAUCUGACUAUGUCUAAUGAUUUUCUAAGUUUGAUAAAUGAGAAACAAUUGUUGGAUCCUAGGCUAUACCUUUUGUAUGCUAGGGUGAAACUCAUUACCAAUGAUUCUGCAAAGCAGUAAAGACCACUACAAGUGCAUAACUUGUCAAAGUCUGAUAAUGAUACACAUAUAUAGAUUGUUGAGUCUAAUAUGAGUCUUUGUAUAUGAUAUGGUUGUUUUUAUGAAUAAUUUAUAUGUUAUAAUAUCUCUUAUACUCUUUUUACACAUUAUAUUACCUUUUCUUUUGUGUUUGUUUUGUCUAGGUGUUCUCUUUCUUUGUUUGUAAUAAUCACCUUAAUAGUAUGAGCAUAUGAGAUGUAACCGUUGAUCCAAUGCAAGACGAGAAUGGUGCAACGAUAUAAUUUUAUGAUGAUCUUGUUAUAUAUAAUUAUUUUUUGAUAAACUCUAGUUUUAUUAGUUUAGUUAUAUAACUAUUUGUACAUACUUCAUGGAUUAAUAUAAUAUAUGCUAAUCUUCUUUACUUAAUGAUUAUAUAAUGUUUUGUUUAAUAAUUUUAUCCUAUUAAAUGGAUAUACAAAAUAAAUCUUUUUCUAUGAUAUUUUAAAGAUAAUUAUUACAUAUAUAUAUAUAUAUAUAUAUAUAUAUAUGAGUUUUUUCACCGUUUCACAGCAUAAAAAUCUUCUACAUCAUUAAUAAAAACUAUGAAUAAAAACUAAGUCAAGUUUGAGAAUUUAUGCAUAAGGUAAAUAUAAGUACUUUAUUUUUAUAAAAAGUUUGAAAAUAAAAACUAAAUAUUAUAAAAGUUUAUAGUUUGACUUAAUGAGAUAAAUUCCAUUUAGGUAUUAUGUUUUUAACCUUAAAUUCUGUUUUAAUUCACAAUUAGUCCUUAAAUAAAAUUUGUCGGCAUGUAUAGUUGUUCUGUUGAUAUAUUCGAAUUUAUGUCAAUAUGCUAAUAAUGAUAUAAUAAGUUAUUAUGUCAUCAAUCAGUUUCAUCAUAUAAUUUUUUUUUAAACCAUGAGUGUGUAGUUUUUUGUUUUUUCGUAAAAUUCAUUUCCAAUUUUUAAAUUUUUAAAUUUUUUAAUCAAUCUCAGUCUUUUAUCCUUCAAAAAGUUUACAUUCAACAAGUCUUAUUCCUUGUUCAUACUAUUGCUAUUUAGUAAUAAAUAAUAACCAUUAGGCCUGUUUAUCAGUUUACUUUAAUUUUUAUUUAAGGUUAUCUAAAUUAAAUAUACAAAUUAAUAUAGUUUGAUUCAAUUUAGUUUUUAUUUAAUACAAAAUUCCAAACAAACUAAAUCAUUGAUUUAUAAUUUGGCUAAGAUUCAUUAUGAAUUUUAUUAUAUAAAAUCAUCCCUUUUAAAUAGUUACCAUGAAAUUGUUAAACAUUUUAUUACGAAAAUUUGUCAAAUAAAAUAUUACACUUCUGUAUAAUAAUUACUAUUAUAUUUAUAUUUUAAAUUUUUAUCAUAUUCAUAAAUAAGUAAAAAGUUACAUUUUGUCAAUUAUAAAUACAUUAAAGUACAAUUAAGUCAUAAAAUAAUACUCAAAAAACUUUACUCAUAUCUUUAUUGAUUUGUUAAUUAUAUAUAUAUAUAUAUAUAUAUAUAUAUAUAUAUAUAUAUAUAUAUAUAUAUAUAUAUAUUAUGAUUGUAAGACAUUACAACUUUUUAUAACAUAGAAGAAUUUUCAUAUUUUCUAUUGUUUAUAAGGAGUAAUAAUUUUUUAACUAUAUAUCCAAUAGUCCUCUGUUAUUAAAGAUAAGUACAAUUUUUUUUUUCUCAAUUAUCAGAGACGUUUUCUAGAAAUAAAAAUGUGACAAAAAUACUACACUCCUAUCUGAAUAAUAUCUCAAAUGUAUCUCAUUAAAUUUAAGGUCAUGAACAAAAUAACAAAAACUAUAGGAAAAGAGAUAUAAAAAAAAAUAAAAAAAUCAGCAGUUCACAUAUCAACAUCUCACUUUAAAACUCUAUUACGAUAUUAUUGGAAGCCGUCGUCAUCAUCUAACCUUUUUUGUGUAACCAUGUUACCAUUAUCAUUUUGCAAUUGCAUUCAUUACGAUUCACUCUUUCAAACCUUUUAUCCACUUUUGUAUGAUUUUGGAUACUAAUGAUAGUCCUAUAAAAUGUUGAAAAUUCUAUAUCAACUAAACAUAAAAACAAAUUUAUACAUUUCAAGUUAAUUAUAUAAUAUUGAAUUAAAUUUAAAAUUUUGAAAUGAAAUAAGAAGAAAUUCAGAAGAAAAUCCAUGUCUUAGUUUGAAAAUUUUGUGGGAGAAAGCUCUAGCAAUGCUUGAUAGCAUUCAAAGAACGCAUGACAGCACCUUGUUUUUAUAAUUGUCUCAUUUGUUCUACGUUAAGUUUGGUUUGAACCAUUAGAUAAAUAGAAAAUAUAUUCUAAAAAAUAGAAGAAAGACAGGUUCCAUGGCAACUUGGCAUUUCAAUUUAUAUCAUAAAAUCUUAGCAUAUAUAGGAAUUUAUUGAAUUAGUGUGUCUGCGCAUCCGACAACACUUUAUUGGUAAUAAAGUCACGUAUUGGACUGAAAUAUUCUCAAUUAAUCUAAGAAGUUUCAUUACGACAAACUUUGUAUUAUAUUCUAUCUUUUUUUAUUAAAGUAAUUCAUAAAAUAAUAAUAUACACUUUUUUGGUAUUCUCAAUAGGUUUACUUUUUUUGGUAUUCUCAAUAGGUUUACCUUAAUUAAAAGUUAAUGUCAAAAUCAAUUUAAAUACACAUUUUUUAUAUAUUUUAAUAUGUUUUUAAGAACAAAAUUAUAGUAGAGUUUCAAAUUUCAAAAUAGACAACAUUCCAAAGACGGUGAUUAAUCUUAACAAUAGUGCUUGACAAACUUAAUAUCAAAAUAUUGAUAUCGUCCAUUAGGGAUGAGUCAAAAAGUCUAAAUUGACUCUAUCCGACCAAAUCGAAUGAAAAGAUAGGUGGUCGAUCGGUUUGGUAGGAAUUUGGAUAAUAUGGAAUAAGGAAAAAUAUAUUUAAAAAUACUCAACCCAACUCAUCUUUUUAAGAGUUAAAGUUAUUGUAGUCGCCCCUCUUUUUCAUUCUUCUUUCUUCACUUCAAAUUCUUUGUCGAAAUCUUAAACCUCCUUCACCAUGCUUCCAUCAAAUACCUUUCUUUCUUCUCUAUAUAUGGUAUUAUUUACUUUGGGAUUCAUAUUUAGCUUGGUCAUGAUUUAGUUAAAAGAGAUCUAUAAAUCAUCAUUAACUAUACAAAAAUUUAAGGUGUGCGUUAAAAAUUCAACUACGAGUUUAAGUCUGAGAUUAAAUAAAAAUAAGAAAAUAUAGUAACAUAUAAUGAUAAAGACUAUUAAUCCUAUUGUUCUAAGAUUUUGAGUUAAAAGUGACAUUAUUCUCUUAUAUGGGUUUGACUCAAAUCUCAUUGUUGAAUUUCUCUAGUACAUUCUUUCUAAAGAUUCAUCGCUAACACCACAAAGACAAGACACUCGUAUAAUAUAGUUAUCAUUGAAAAAGUAUUCACAGUUGGAAAUGUUUUUGUUCAUCCUUAAAAAAGAUUUUUAAGAAUUCACAUGUAAGUAUAAGUUAGAUGAGCACCUUAUAAAAAAAAUAUUUACAAACUCAUAACUUUAGAGUUCUUACUUAAAAGAAAUGCCAAUUUCUUAUGUGAGGUGACUGGUAUUGUAUCUCUAGUUAAUUCUUCUCUUUAUAUAUCCAUCAAUACUGUGGCAGAAGUCGUUUUUGUCCCCCUUUUGCAACCUCCAUUUUUACCGUUUAAUAAUCUUAACUAUUUUCUUUACUUACUACCUUGUAUGUCGAAGCACCAUUCCUACGCGAACCUCCGACCUUAUUUCACAUUCUUGUCUACAGAAAUACGUAAAUUAAGAAGAGAUUAUAUGUUCUACUUCACACUAACUCGACCAAAGACGGUUUAAUUUCUUGUAAGAUUGAUUAUCAAGUUUGGAUGAGUUUAUUCUAAUAUAAGUAGUGACGUGGAGAAGUAGUUGUAAGCAUUAAUUUAAAAAAAAAAAAAAAUCUUUGAUUAAUUAAAAUAAUAUUGAAUUUAGUUUAAAAGGAUAAAAAAAUUGUAGUAUUGGGUAUGUAGGAAAAAAAAUGGAAGGCAUGUUAUAAUGGAUAAGUGAAAUUAUUGCGCGGCUGGGUGCAUUGAAUGGUGUUUUAUUGUCCAGAUAGAGAGAAAAAUUGCAGUGGAAGUUAGGAAGAAGUAGAAGAAGCCAUGACAAGGUCUGUGUGUGAGUUCUUGUAUGAGCUUUAUGCCAAGACAAUAGUCCUUUUAACAUACAUGCUAAUACAACUUAUCCUUAUCAUUCGCUACCUUAAAUCAAACACACCUGCAAUAUCAACCACCCAAUACCUCAGUUUCAUCGAAGAGAAGAACCCCGCCAUUCGUUGCACCACAAGACUCAAGGCAGAGCACAUAGACUGCAGAGUUUGUCUCUCUGAAUUCCAGGAAGGGGAGAAGGUCAGGAACCUCAACUGCAGACACACUUUUCACAAGGAUUGCUUGGACCAGUGGUUGCAGCAAUACUGUGCUACUUGCCCACUUUGCAGACACAAGGUCUUGCCAGAUCAUGUUGUCGCCAACUACAACCUCCUUCAAAAUCAUCUACGAGAAGAAGAAGAAGAAGACUACGAUGGCAAUGAUCACCAACUCAUCUUUUUCUUAUCUGCAUUAAGGGGUGGUAGCACUUGGCACACAUAUCUCUGAUCUGCUUUCAUAUACACUACCACUCAAAUUCCCUUUUCGGUAUUAUUCAUUCCUUCACACAAUAUUCAUUCAUGCAUCCUUACAUUUUUCUACCUUUUCCAUCUUCUAAUAUCCAACCUUAUAUAUGUAUAUAUAGUAAAAGAUAGACUCUAUAGCUACUUUCCCUGUUAAUCAGCGUAAGUCUACCUUGUUUAACUCUGAAUUUCGGUUUGGUGCAUUUUGGAAACCGUUUUAGUUCGAUGCUGCAGAGUCCACAUCGGACAUACACCAAAAUGGAGAUGUUUUUGAAAAGCCUCUCUUUUUCUUUCUCAAUUCAAAACAGAGAAAGCAAAAGCUUUGCACUUCAAAAGUUCUCAACGAAAGGGUCGAUGGUUGUUGUUGUUGUUGUAGUGAUUAGACACUUCACAUUAUAGGAAAAACCUUGUAACAGAACUUGUGUGAGAAAACUUGUUGGACCAAUAUCAAUCAUAUGAUACUGCUAACAAGUUUAGUUCAUAGUGUAGUAUAAUAAUAAUAAUAAUGAUGAUAAUAAACUGAAAUAUCUCCUUAGUUGAUUAUGUAUGUGAAAGAUCUUGAUGGAGUAAAAAACCUUACAAGUUUCUCAAAGAGGUAAAUUGUUGAAGUGCAGGGAACAGUAAUAGUAGGAGUAGGAGUAGAUAGACAUUGAAAUGGUGCAAUAAUAAAUGGUAGGUGAAAAGGUUAAAUGAUUUGUUGAUGCAUAUGAUAUGAUGUAGAAGAGAAUUCUCAGAAGUGAGAGACAGAGCUAGCUUUAUCAUUAUGGGAUGAGUCCCCACAAGGCUGUGGUAGUCACAUGCAAGAGCACAGGAAUUAGCUGUCAGCACUCAUUCUAUCUUUUACCCUCCUCCACAACUUCAUUAUUUCAAAGCUUUAUACAUAACAAUUCUACAACAUUUCAAGCUCAUACAAAUUAUAGAAAGAGAGUUGACGUAUGUAUAUAUGUAUAUAGCUUCCCCCAACUCAGACAAAAGUAGAUAUAGAAUUAGAAUGGCAGUGUUUAUAUUUUUUACUUCAUUCAACAGUGUUGCUUUUAAUGCAUAAUAGCUUAUUAUUGUGUCCUAAUUUCCAACCCAGGACCACUCACUACACAGUCCUUUUCCCUUUCCCUGUGCUUGCUUCAUACUGUUUUGGCUGCUUAGAAAAUGUGGUUAUGGCCACACUAGCUCUAUGUUCAAAUAUAGCUUCAAUGGACCACGCGACUGCUGUAGAGUGCAGCCUUUUCAAUUUCAAAUGGACACUCAUUCUAGCAGAGCACGCCCCAUGUCUCAUUUUAUGAUUAGUUAACUUAAAAAAGAGAAAUAAUUAUUUGACACCCUUAAAUUUUGUACGUUCAUUUAAUACUACUCUUACUUACUUUUUAUUCUUUUCGGUUUUGAAAAACUUUACACUUUUUUGAACAAUUUUAUCUUUGUAUUAUGUAUCAAAUGAAUGUAAAAGUAUGUCAUAGUAUUAUUAUUCUUAACUUAAAUUUAAGAUAAAACCAAUCUAGAAUCCCUACAAGUAUUAUGAUACCUCAAUAUAUCAAAUACAUUCAUUUGACACAUCAAUGUGUCAAAUACAUUCAUUUGACACGAUAUCAUGUUAUUAAUUUGUAAAAUUGUAUAAUUUAAUUGGCUGAAUAAAACUAUUAUUGGGAUCUAUAGUAUGAUAUUUAAAUAUCAAAGUAAAUAAUCAUAUCAAAGUAUUAUUAUUACUUUAAAUAUAGUAUAAAAGUAAAAUAUUAUUAUUUAUUUAUUCUAUGUCUUCAUUUUUAUUUCCGAAAAUUACUUUUAUACUAUUAUAUUAUUAUUAUUAUUAUUAUUAUUAUUAUUAUGUUGUUUUUAGUUGUAAGUGAGGAAUUUCUGGAAAAGAAAAUGUAGAGAUAAUGAGAAAAUAAGAAUGAGUAGUUUGUUAUAAGAUUAUAAAUGCUGGCGUGAUAUGUAGGUACACUAGUUUCUACACUGUGUGACUUUCGGUCGUGUUUGAAUAAGGGUUUCCUUUUAAAUUCUCUAAAUUAUUUCUUGUCUUGACCUUUAAAUGUAUCGAAAUAAGGAUAAAUUAUUAUUAUUGUUAAUCAACAAUAUUAAUAAUUGUUUAACAACUUCGUGUGCUUGUUUAACAACAUUAAAAUUUCGUAGGACUUUAAUACUUUAUUUUAUUUUGGAGAUCUGAAUUUGUGACGCGAAGGAAAGGUAGGUGAUGAAAUUGAAUGGAGUAGGGCAAAGAAGUAUAUAUAUAAUUAUAAACUCAUAACUUCAAAUUGGACACUUGUCAUGCAUUAACGUGCGUUUAAAUUGCAUGGACCACCACUGCUAAUUUUGCUACAGAAAAUAAUUUUUCAUUUUUAUACAGCUUUACAUAAUCAGAAAAUAACAAAUAAAAUAACAAUCUCAAUUUACAAACAAAAAUAUAAUUGUUUUCUUAAACCGAAUAACUUGAAAUUCAUUUUCAUUGAGAACAGUAAACACUCUUAGAAAAUGGAAAGUUCUACGACUUUUAUGUAUUAAGAUUGGAAGUCCACUUUCACACUAUAAGAUAUUAGUUAUUAUUUUUUAAUAUAGUAUCAAAGUUAGGGUGUUGAGUUAGAAUUAAAAUUUGGGUUAAAUAUGUUUUUAGUCAUUAUAUUUUGGGGUGAUUUUGGUUUUAGUCCAUUUUUCAAGCUAAGAUACAAUUUAGUCCUUUAACUUUUGAAAACUCUGGUUUUAGUCCUUUUUACCAAAUUCUUUUAACUUUAUUUGUUGUUUCAAGCACGUUUCAUUAUAGCAUUUGGAUUGUUUACACUGUUUGACACAUUUUUGCUUCAAUGUUAACUGAGAAACGCGUUUCAAACAGCAAAUAAAGUUAAAAAAAUUUGGUAAAAAGGACAAAAACCAGAGUUUUCUAAAAUUGAAGGACUAAAUUGUACCUUAGUUUGAAAGAGGGACUAAAACCAAAAUCACCCCAAAAUAUAGGGACUAAAAACAUAUUUAACCCUUAAAAUUUCAUUUCUUAAUAUCAAUUUUAUGUAUUUUUUAUUUGAAAAUUACUAUAUAGGUAAAAAGUUGAAUUUCCUUUUAUAUAUUACUCUUAUUUAUUUGUACAUUAUAAGACUCUUACUAUUAAUACCAACAAUUUGAUGCAAUUACAAGUAUUUGACAAACAGUUUAAAAAGUACAAAGAUGUUGAUUUUUAAAUUAUUAAGUAUGGCCAUUUAAAAACGGUGAAGCAAGUCGAUAAAAUUGUUGAUCAAACAUUUAUUAUUAUACUAAAACCUAUAAUAGAUAGUUGUAAUAACUCUUUAUAAAGAUUUAAUUUUGACAUCUACGUCUAUAUUAAAGGAUAAUUAAUAUUAUUAUAACCAUCUUCUCAUCUGUUAAUCUAACUUUUUAUUAUAUAUGACUUAACUCAUAGUAUCUAUGUAUAGAAGCGGAUGGGAUCUUCUUCAACGUGAGAGAUGUCACGACUUUCAAACUUUUAAAUUUUUUUUAUGUAUAUAACGAGAAUUCGUAAAUUAGAUACACUUUUAAUUCUUUUUAUGAAACAUGUCAUUUAAAGUUAAAAAAUAAUAAAAUAUAAAAUUAAAUAUAAUAAAGAAUAAAAGAUUUAUUACGAUACUUUUUAUUGUUUCACUCUUUACUUCUUAAUUUACCUAUGGUCUUCUUUUCCUCUUUCACAUGUUUUUUUUUUUAAGUUAAACAUAUUUAUUAUUCUUAUUCUUAUUUCUCCAAUGUUAUAUUUUAUUACGAAGAAAAAAAAAUAUUUUGUUGUCCUACUUAUAUUAAAAUAUUAAUUUCAUAUUUUUUUAUCUGAUAAGUCUUUUUAAUAAAUAUGAAAAAAGUAAUUAUUAUAUAUGCUUUUUCAUAAUUUAUUUUCAAUUGUAGUUUGAUUAUCAUAUAUAUUUUUUAAAGUAAUUAUGUCUCUUAAUACUUAAUUAGAUUUAGAUAGUUUAUUAUCUUCAUUUUUUUAAACAAAUAUGCCGAGAUUUUUUUUUUUAAAUGAUAAAAGAGAAAUUACAUAUAAAAAUGAAAACAACACAAAUUAAAUAUAAUAUUAAUAAUCCAAUUUUUUAUUUUUGUUACAUUGUGUCAAUAACUAAAUAUAAAUUUUGAGUGUAUUAUUUUUAUUUUUCCAAAAUUAUUGAUCAACAUCUAUUACAUCUAUUGUUUUCUAUAUGUAAUAUAGUUGAAUCAAAUAUUUAUAUAUCUACCGACACCACUUAAAUAAAUAAAUAAAAAAUUAAAACACAAUUAUAAAUAAUAAAUUGGUUGUUGUUUCUUAAAAUAGCACGUACUCUACAGAAUAAGUAGUAUGAGACCCAUACAUCCUUGUUUUUUUUUUUUUCUUUUAUUAAUUUGUGUUAAGAAAAUUAACUCAUUAUUAUUAUAUUUUAAAAAAAAAUUAUUUAUAUGUUUAAGUGUUAUAAUUAUGUGUAAUUAUAAAUAUAAUAUUUAAAUAGAGAGUUUGAUAAUUAAAAAAUUAAAUAAUUAAUUAUAGAUACUAUAAUAUUUAAUAUUUCUUUAAGCUAAGAGAAAGUAUAGCUAAUAAUACCAAUACUAAUAAUUGUAAUAGAUUAUACUAAUAAUAAUAAUAAUAAUAAUAAUAAUAAUAAUAAUAAUAAUAAUAAUAAUAAUAAUAAUAAUAUCGAUACUGAUAAUGAUAAUGAUAAUAAUAAUAAUAAUAAUAAUAAUAAUAGUAAUAGUAGUACAAAUAAUAAUAAUAAUAAGAUUAAAAAAAUAAUAUUUGGAUGUGAAUUUAUUUGUCUUGAAUUACAAAAUUCAUACAAAAAUUAAUUAGUAAUGUGUAAUAAAAUAAUAUUGUUAUUUGAUUAAAAUUUACGUUAAAGUAUUGAAUUAUAUAUUAAAAUGGUGCAUUUUUAAAUACAAAAUUAACACGCGAAUAUCAAUAAAAGACAAACAUAUUGUAAAAUGUAAUCCUUAUACUAAGCAAAGUUAAACUGACUUGAAUUCGAGGUUAAAUAUUAUAAAGAGAAAUACAUGUAAACAUUGUUAUCAAUAUAAACAUUGACUUUAUGAUAACUAAUUAUUGAUGUGUACACACAAUUUUGAGUAUGAAUUUGUUUGUAUAAAAUUAUAAAAUUGACAUGAAAAGCGAUUAGUAAUGUGUUAUGAAACAAUAUUAUUAUAUGAUUAAAUUUACCAUUAGAAUUUUGAGUUAUAUAUUGUAUUAAAAUGAAAUACUUAUACACAAAUCAUUAUUAAAGUAAAAUGUAGUCAAUAUGAUUCCUAUAAAUACAUUAUAUGAAAUUUAAAUAAGCCACUUUGCUUGAGUUUUGAUAGCAAAUAGUAAGAUUAUAACAGAAUAUUUAUUGAAUCAUGUGUUAGUGGUAAACAAUGCUUUUAUUCUAAAAAAUUUGCGAAAAAUAAAUUACACUUAAUAAACGAAAAAAAAAUAUUUUUUAAUAUUUUUAAGAAAAUUAAUAUAAUUAUUAUCUUUAAAUAAAUAAGCUAUUUAUAUAAAUAUAUCUAAAUGUUAUAAUUUUAUAUAUAAUACUCAAAUGAAAAGUUUGAUGAUAUAAAAAAAAUUAAAUAAUUAAUUAAUUUUAUUGUAAUCAAUUUGAUAAUGGUAAAAUCGUCUUGUCAAAGUGUGUUGUCUGAUUAUUUCUCUUGAUUUCUCUUUCUAAAAAUAAAAAGUGGUGAAAAAAUUUCAAAGGAUAUGAGAAAGAAAAAGAGGACGAAAUAACUCAUGGUGGGAUUUGUAGGAUUUGAAAUUGUUAUUAUAUAAAUUUGUUAAAAUAUGUCAAAACUUGUGAAUGAAUCUGAUUCAUCAUAUAUUCGAAUAAGGUUGGAUUAAAAAAAUUACAAAUUUUAAUACGAAUAAAAAAUGAACUUGAUCAAAUAAGAAUUACAGUCGAUGAGUAGAAUUGACUCACCAACCAAUCCAUAAAUUCUAAAUAUUAAAUUAUAAUAAAAAAUAAAAUUAUAAUUACUUUUUUAUCUUUAAAUGUAUUUAUACUGUAUUGUAUUUUUGUGAUUUUGGAUUGUAUUUGGAGUAUAAUAUCAUUUUAGAUUGUAUGUGAUUAAACUUUAUUUAGAUUUUAAUAAUAAAAAAAUAAUUUUAAUUAGAUUGAAGAAAAAAAAAUCUAAUUAAGUGAGCAACUCGUUUAACUCAUUAAUCCGUAGGUUGGACCAUAUUUGAUUUUUUUGAAUUUGCUAAUAAGUGAGUUGUGUUGAAUUGACUCAUUAAAUUAUGAAUCCAUAGUGGGUAAACCAAACUGGAUUGAAUGACCCAUUUUGACAACUCUAACUGUUUUUGUUUUGUUAAAUGGAUGAAAUCUGAAAGACAUAUCCAAAAGAAAAAUAAUAGUAUCUUUGGUAAAUUAUUCCACAAAUUCGAGAAGAAAAAUAGAAACUCAAUCUAAGAAUAAGUAACAUGAACAUUAAGGAAAUAAUGAAAACAAAAAGACUAUAUAAUACCAUAUUUUGAUAUAAUACCAUAUUUUGAGACACAUGUCAACAAAUUAAAUAUGAGUAAUUGGAUAUAUUUCCUAGUAGUUUGUUAUCUUAGUUUUAUAUAAAGAGAAGGUAAUUGGAACAAAGAAAUAUCACACAGAUUAUUAAGGAUUCAAGAAAAUAUAUUAUUUUAUGUGAUCUUAAUUUUGUAAGCAACCCUAAUUAAUACGAAACUUCAAAGAAGAAGUUAUAUCUAUUUCUUACAAAACAGCAUACCUCCCUCCAACCAGUCAAUUGUAUCAAAGGUGCCAAAUCUGUACCUCAUUCCAAGCAAUAUAGGAAAACACAAUCAUGAACAAGUGUUCCACAUUGCACCUCUACAACUCACCACCAACUAGGGUUAGUGUUGAUAUUAUAUAAUUUAUUCUAAAUAUUAUAAUAUUUAUGUUAUUUAUUUUAUUAUUUAGGCAUUAAACAUCAAAAUAUUGAUAGAUGAUAGUCUUUAUAAUGUCGUUUUGAACCAUCAUAUUAAUUGACCCGAUGAAAAUAUAUUAUGUAUUUAACAAUAUGAUAUUUUUUACUUCCCUUCUAAAUUUAAUUGAAAAUUAUUUUGAUAUAGUUUUAAUAUGAAUAUUAUUUUUAUCCAACCUAAUAGAUAUAUUAAAGAGCAUAACUUAACAAGACUUAUUAAACCUCUUUAUUUUGGAAUAAUUCAAACCUAAAUCUAUUGAAACAAUAUCUACAUAUCAUAACUAAUCUUAACACUUUGGUAUUAUGAUUAUUAUUUACGAAGAUGUAUCAUUAUGUUAUCAUUAAUUACUUUAUUAUUAUACUCUAGAUAAAUAUUAUUUUAAUGAUAACAAUAGAUCCAUAGUCCAUGUGAAUCUUAUAAAUACAAUGUAACUAAAUAUCCCAUACUCUUACUCAUAAAUCUUAAACUCUCUUACUAACUGCACGCUUACAAUUUCUUCAAGCACCCCCUUAAAAUUUUCUAAAAAAUAAUAUAGUUUAACCUUCUUAUUAUUAUAUAGGAGACAAUUAGUAACUGCGUUUCAGUAAGUUUAUAUAAACAUUGUGAGUGACAAGAAGAAAGAAAGUUGGGCUCAAGAUUGGGAGCUGUAUUGUAUUAGAAGGCCUUCUCUUUCUAACACGUCAUAAUUACUAUUGCACCCUCAAAGGUUUUAACAACAACAUUUUUUAAACAAACGUUCAGGUACAAACUUUCAACAUAAAGUUUGUUGAACAAUUUUCUUAAAACAAUUUUCAGAACAAGCUGUACGGAAUACAUUAUAUGCUUUUCAGAUUAUUCAAGUUUUCUCGAAUAAUUUUUUUAGAACUUGUGAUAUAUAUUUCUGAUUAUUCAAUUGAAAUCGUGUUUAAGAAAUUCAUAAUCCAAAAACAUGUUUCAGGUUUGAAAAUUCAUAAAUAGGUCCUGUUCUUGUUUUCGCCCAUACUUUCAUAAACACCGGGGUAUAAACGACAACCACGUAGACAGAGUACAACAAGGAAUGAUAUUUUAAUGGUUUUGUGCUUUGAAUGGAGGUGCAUAUAGUAAUCAUAGUCUUUAGCAAGCAAAACGCGUAUUUGAAAUGCGGAAUCCAAUUUAACCUAAUGCGAUUCAUCUGUAAUUAAUGACGGAUAAUUUAAUUAAUCGAUGAUAAUCAGAGGAAUGGGGAGCAAUUGCAAGUUUAUCGUGAUUCUUAUCCAUCCAUCAUCGUUAUAAAGAAUUUCUGGAUAAGAGUAGGACAAAUCGAUAACAGAACAGAGAUAUUUUAGCAUAAGACAUCAUAGAUUUUAAGCCGCGGAAAAACGGUUUGGUUUGGAUUGAAAAGGACGGUGAUGUACAAGAGUGGAGAAGAAAGAAAAGAUGAAAGAAGGAGAAGAGAUAAAGAUGAAUUUAAGCAGAGAAGAAGCUGUCGGAAGCAGCCAUAGCAAGUUGGGUCUUGGGUUCCAAAACCCUCUGGAGAAGCUGCUUCUUUUCCUUGAGUCCUGAUACCAUGACGGAGACGGAAGAAAGCAGGUCGAUUUCUCCGGCAGCACCGCCAUUCUUUUUCAAAAUCUUCACCCGCCUCUCGUACUCCUCCGCCACCAGAAUAGCAAUGUCAGACAUCCUUAAGAUGAAAAGGUUUUUUGUUUUGUUUUUUGUUUAGGUUGUUCUGAGGCAAUUUAUAAAAGGGGGUUUGGAUAAGAAUGGAGUUGUUGGUUGGUUGAAGGUUGUCUGUUUUCACAAUACACUUUUUUGUGGUGGGUGGGGCACCUUGUUUUCAUUCUUUUACUCACUGUGGACGCCCACUGAAUGUCCAAUCUCAUCCAAACUUUUUAACUCAUUGCUUUCAUUUCGCUCAUCAAAUUAUCCUACAUUUUCAACUUAUAUUAUCUAUUUAUAAACUUUAUACAAUCUUUAUAUUUUUCAUUUUUAAAAUUUAUUUAUAUUAAUAAAAUUGAAGUUAAAUUGUAGCAUUUUGAUAUUUUGAAAUAAAAGAUUGAUAUCCCAAAACCAUGAUAAGAAUAUGUUUCUAUGGGCCAAAAUAUUA